CUGCACUCCAUUUGUGAGUAUAUUUUAUUCUAUUUUAUCAAAUAUUACGUCACAUCAUCAGAGAGCACUAUUUGCUGUUUUUAUUCUCCCCUUCUCUUGAGAAUUGGAAAUCACUAUCGUCUGGAGGACAAGCACCCACAUAUCCUAUAAGCAGGGAUAAUUCCGCCGUAUGCCUGUUACACCUGAGCUGGCUAUAGCUCAUUUACAUGUGAGUGUUUAAUUUAUAUUUUAAUAUAUUUAUUACGUAUUCCAUACACUCUGCACGAUUUGUCCUCUCUCCUUGUGUCUUCCAUGUCACGAGACGAUUUGGACUACUAGAGACCUACCUCAGAUAUUUUAUUGGACUUUUUUUAUCGAAUAUAUACUUUUAUAUUUUAUUGUAUUUUUACUCUUAAUAUCUCUUAUCUCGUCGCAGCCUUUCUUUCUCCUUGUUGUACACUUUAAACAGAGAGGGUGAGAGGGUUACCCUCUGUAAGGUUGCUGCCUACCCAUUGUAUUAUUAGCGCUGACCUACCCUUUUUUAUCUUUCUGUAUUGUGUAUUUUUUACUUUAUAGAAAUCCAAAGAGGGAGAAUUUCUCAUACUGUGCGUAAGUUCCUGUUCAUAAGCAUAUUUCAGUGUCGAGUGUAUGUCUAUUGUGUGUGUUAGCACGCUUGUUGUUUGGUAUAUUAACCAUAGGUGUUGGAAAAUCCCCUUUUGUUAUAAACCACACGGUGCACUGCUAUUCAAUUUGAAGCUCCUACAUACUUCUUUAUUUUAUAAGUCAGGGAUGGACUGAUUUCUGAUUCUUAAAGUGGAACUCCCACUUCUCAGGAUUUUUACUAUUAUGCUUUCUUAUGACUAUAUUUAACACAUAUGUAUUUAGAAGGUGUGAAAUAUAAUAUUAAAUGUAGAAAUUCACACCUUUUUUAUCUUACAACUGUACGCCUCCAUCUUUUAAUCAUUGUUAUAAGCUCUGUCCUUUGUACCUGGCAGUCAAUAUAGAAAAAAAAUUAACUGGACACAUCAUUGAAAGCUGACUGAGGAAGCCACUAUUGGCGAAACGCGUAUUGGCUUACUAUUUACCACUUAUAUUUUAUUCUUCUAUAUUUUAUUAAUAUUUUAUGUAUAUUUUUUAUAAUAAAGUAGUUUUUUUUUUUGCUACCCCAUCCUCUGGAUCCUCUUCUAUUUAUUGGAGACCAUACCAGCCACAGAAGGGUUAAGGAUCACCCUACAAUAGAUCCAGAAGCCAUCUAUACCAGAGCCAGGUCCCUUGGCUCUGAUUUUGUGAGUGUUUCCUUGCACCUAUUGCACUUUAAUAUAUAUUGUAAACGAUCUACACUAUUUUGUAUAUCUCUCUAUCUCCACAGCAAUAUAUUGGAGAAGAGGAGAGAACUAAUAUUGCUCCAUCCACUGUGUUUGUAUUGUAUGUACUUUUUUGUGUUGGUAUAGGGGAUACCACACGGGUGUUUGAGCUAUUGCAGUCACCUACCGUGCCAUUUGCUGUAUUUGUGAUAAAUAUAGAAAAAGAAUACAGAGAAAAUGUUCUACGUCUCCUCUUUAUUUGCAAUGUUUGUCCUGACUUUGCCAUUUUUGAACUGGAUUAUGAUGUGAUUUGCUAAAUCUUUAAUAUAAAUUUAAAAGCAAAUGGAUCAUUUAAUAAAAAAUUUUAAAAAGUUAAAGGUGUUUUUUUUCAAUGUUUUGUUCAAUUAAGAGACAGUUCCCACUUAAGCUAAUUAUUUUAUUGUAAUUGCCUUCUAAAAAUAGACAAUUUGUUUUUAUUUCCUUAUUUAUUAACAAGAUCAGCUGUUUAAAGUUUAAAGUCCAACAGUUCAAGCCUUGAUCGCCCAAUAAUUCCACAUGCAAAUCAGUAAAAUAAGCAAGCUGAAAAGUUUAUUUGGAAACAAUGUUCCAUCUUUUCCAAGUGUAAUUUAAGUCUUAGAACAAGCACAGCUCACUAUCAGGCCUGGUAAAGCUCAUGCCAUCAUCAAUAAUUAUUUGGGAUCAAAAAAGAAAGGAGGAUUUCACGAUAAACAACGUGAAUAAGAUAAGAGAAGGGAAAAAAAUGAUUUAGUAAUAGGCAAGGGAAAAGAGAUAGAUGAAGUUGGCCUCUUUCCGGAGAGAUUUUCCAUCAUCGAUCAAAGAAAGGUAAAAACUUUGAGUAUUGACUUUAAACUCUUCACACUUUGACAGCUGCUAGCAUUAACCUCUGAUACAAAUGGAGGUCGAAGUAAGAUUAGCAUUAUUGACAAGUACUGAACACUAUUAAAUUAUGGCUGGAUAAAUAAAUGAUAUUAGAAGUACUUAGUCUAUGCAGUACGAGUGAUAAAUCUAUUGUAUAGUGUAGCAGGGAGAUCCAGUCCCCAUAAGUUUGGCAUACUAAAAGCUCUCUGCAAUAGGUUUGGCGCCAUAAUAUAGGUAUGAUAGAUAUUAAAUGGAUUUUUUAAUCAUAAUGUACAAAAUAAAACCGUGCCAAAUAAGGGAACAUGUCUCGUAAUACAGGUGCUUGAUUAAAAAUGCACCUUUGUAAAGGGAAAAAUAUACUUAUGUGUUAUUUAUCAAAGUCUUAAAGAUGCACGUCUGAGACGAAUGAAAUGUAAACAGUCCCAUAACAAUAGCACAGAACAGUCCACUUAAAGGCAUUGUUUUCCAUUUCCUCUAAUAGUUCUAGUGUUGUUCUAAAACACUAGUUAAUCUCUAUAUGACCAAAGAUAUACGAGUUAUUGAUUUCAAACUCUGGUGGUGCUCUUUUCUAGAUUCCUUCAUUUGUCAAGCUUAAUUUUACACUUAUAGUUGUAAACGAUACUGCUUAUAAUAUAUGAAGUGCUUAAUGAAAAGAAAAAAAAAUAGUAGAAAACUAAGCAUAUAUUAUUAAUACAACAUCUAACUGGAAUCAGGAUAAGUUUCCGGAAAAAAAGUAAAGAUGUUUUGGGGAGCAAUUGAGUAUAAGUAAAAGGUAUUUUUGGUGUUUUUAGGCAGGUUUUAUAAAAAGAAAGAAUAAACAUUUAUUUAAACAGUAAGUUAUUACAUGCAUAUGUAACAUUGCUAAAAUACCAGGCUAGACCUUUGGGGGAUGUUUAUCAGGGCAAAACAAGUGGCAUUUUGGGUACAAAGAGCUUAAUGUACUUUGCCCGAGAAUAUUGCCUGUUUGUCCUUGAUAAAUCUCCCUAUAAGUGGUCUAAAUCAGUGGAGCCUGAAUCAGACCCAUGUCACCUUGUCAAAUAUUUACUGAAGAUGGGAUUUUGGCUUUGUGUACCAUAGAUAGCAGGGCAGUGAUGGCUAAUUGUGGAGCCCCAUUCCCAUUAUCCUCAGUCAUCCAGAAAUAUCUCAGGUGCCAAGUUUAGCAAUUACUGCUCUGUCGGUACGUUCUAAGAUUUUUUUUUUUUUUUUUUUUUUUUAAAAACCCUACCUCAUAAUUAAGAUGAAAUCCUGCACACAAUUGUAUUUCCUCUACCACAACUCUAACAAUCAAUAUAUUACUGAAGCAUUUUCCAGGUUUAUUAUCUGAGAGUUUCAGACACAAAAGGUAUGUAGGCAAUAAACCUGUCAGUGCACUUUUUUAUAACUAGGAAUGAGAGACUACAUGCCAUGAAAUAAAAUGUGUAAGGCACUUUAUAAAAGAAUGAGAAAUGUGUUUUUAUACAGUACUUAAUAAUGUAAAAGAGAAAUGCUAUGACUUGGAAAUAUUUUUAUUUUUUUUUACCCUGGAUUUGUUCAUCUAAAUAUUACAUAUUAAACAUGUAUUAGAUUAAUCUGCUGUAUGUUUUUGCCUUAUAUGCAAACAGGAUUAAAAUGCAGGUGCUGGAAGAGUUGUGUUUAAAUAACUCAUUAGAUAGACUGCCUGACUUCCUGCUCACCUGCACUAUGCAUCCUUCUUCUAGUGACAUACAAUUGGGAUAAGUGGAACACUUACUGUAAUGAUGAUUGUAACCUGCAAGCUACCCCAGCUGUGUGAACUGGCAUUGAAAAUAAAAAAAUAUAUUCCCAGUGACAGCCUUAACCCUCUCUCUGCUUUGAAGGAAAAAAUGCAUGCAAGUAAACUUAAUGUAUGCUUAGUGCUGUACAACAUGUGAUAAAAAAAAAAUAUAAAGGCUAUUUUAUGUCAUUCUGUUGAUAGUGGGGUUUUUUAAUUACCAAACAUGCAGGGUGUUUAAUAGCAAUGGGGAGGAGAGGUGUAAAGAGUUCUGCAGAGAUCAAAAAGUAUAAAAAUCUACACUAUUUUGGUCAUUUUCUUGGACAGGUGGUAGUUAAGAAUAUUUUAAGUUAGGGAACCAGAUAAGACUAAUGGCAUAUAAUUGUUUCUUCUUUUGUUAAUAAUUACUACACUUUAUUUUGUUUUCAGUUUUAUAUUUUGUAGUAUGAGAAAUUUUCACAAAAAAAAUAAAGAACUCACCAUCUGACUAAAACUAAAAUACACAAUAAAAUAAUGAAAUUUAUUUUUUUAGCAAUUUUAUUAAACAUCUCUCAGUAAACCAUGUUAUAUAAACAAUUAGUGUAUGUCUAACCCUUUUAAAUUAGCAAUAUAGGGGACUAUAGUACCUAAUCUUUUACGUAUUAUAUGUAGAAUAAAGUCUAAAUAUUUACUGGGCUCCGAUAUCGGUCUCUCAAAAUGAUGUAAGCUACAAGUAGAUAAGUAUACUAUAUUUAAAAGAAGAAAAACUAUAACAACAAGAGGACAUAGUCUUAAAUUAGAGGGGCAAAGGUUUAAAAAUAAUAUCAGGAAGUAUUACUUUACUGAGAGGGUAGUGGAUGCAUGGAAUAGUCUUCCAGCUGAAGUGGUAGAGGUUAACACAGUAAAGGAGUUUAAUCAUGCAUGGGAUAGACAUAAGGCUAUCCUAACUAUAAGAUAAGGCCAGGGACUAAUGAAAGUAUUUAGAAAAUUGGGCAGACUAGAUGGGUCGAAUAGUUCUUAUCUGCUGUCACAUUCUAUGUUUCUAUGUUUCUAUGUUUCUAGAUUUAAGUCAUUUGCCAGAUGUUGCUGCUACUUUUAAGUGAAUAAAAAGAUGUUCAAGGUUCUGCUCAACACCUGUUUUCAUUGUAUGCAAAGUUCUGAGGACUAGUGCAAUAGUUCUGUCUUGUGUUCAUUAUAAUUGGAUGUUGAGUGUGGUUUUAGUGUUGUCUAACAUGUUGAUGAGUUUGUUUUUCAUAUUUCGUUGUUUUCAUUUUUUUCUUUGCUGUUUACGGAAAUGAGUAAGCCAAUCCUAAGCAUAAUACCAGCAUUUGUCUGAGUAUGGUUAUAGAAAUUCUUUUUUUUUUUUUAAGUGAAAUGCAUGUGAUAAAAAGAUUGCAGAAUAACAAUCAAAAUAUCCAGACAAUGAAAAAUAUACUGCUUUCAUAUAAGUGUAAGAUGUCCAAAAGGUACUUUUGACACAAGUCGUCACUUUGCACUUUUUACCUUCUCAUACAAACAGAAAGCAAACGUGCUUUUAAAUAUUUGGUUUUACCGAGACUUACUAUUAACAUAUAAUUUUAAGGAUGUGUGCAAAUGUUGGUGUGAAUAUACUAUAAAGGAUUAAUUAUGUUUCUGAAGAUCACUUGUAUCUUAAAAUGUCAAAAGGAAAUGCAUGAGUAAAGAACAGUUGUUUGACAAUCAUUUGAUUAAUUAAAACAGCUUUUUACCACGUAUAAGGAAUUAUCACUUAAAAAAAAUAAAAAUAAAAUGUGAGGCCAUCAAUUCAUCAAUGUGUAAUGUAUUUGAGAAGUUAGUAACCAAACCGGAAAUAUCCUAAAGAUCAAUUUAUUAUCGACCCGAAAAACAAAGUAGACUUGUAUUAUUCUUAUUAAUGUCUUGUCCUGGGUAUUGAAGAGAUUAAAUAAUUGCCCUAUUCCCGACAAUAGGAUUCCAGGCCAAAUGUUAAAAAAGCGUAAGAUGCAAAGUUAUAAAACUACGGCCAAGCCUUUAUAAAUUCCAUAAGUGAACAUUAUCUUAUCCAGCUGCUGGUACUAAGCUGAGGUUAUGCAAAAGCCAUUAUAUAAUGACCUCUAAAAUGCAGAGUAUGUUAAGAGUGUUUAGACAUGGGCUGAAAGUGCCACAUACUUCCAUUACCACAUUGUUGCACAUGCUAAAUAUUCAUUAAUCUAAAUGCCACAAGAGUAAUUUAACUAGCAGUGCCACCUACUCACUUCAAAAGGGCAUUGCACGAAGACCAUUUUGUUUUGCUCUUAGAAAAUAUAUUUUCUUAGGAUCUGUUUAUUGAACUUAACCAAGCAAGCAUUUUUGAAGAAGGAGAGUUUGCAGCGAGCUGAUCCCUAAAUGUAUAACGUGAAAAUGCCCAAGAUAUAUAAAUACCAACUUUUUUUCUAAAAGAAAAGUUCAAAUUCUUCACAUCAGGACAAAGUCCAUGUUUCAAAAAAAUGAAUUCAGAAAAAUAUACUAGAAACUGAUAUUAUUCUUCCAUUUUGAUAUUUAGGUUCAUAAAUUCAGUUUUCAGCUGGUAAAUAUUUUCACAUUUUGGGAAUUCACAUAGUAUCUCCUAAAGGGGCACAUUAAUUUAAAAUUGGAAAAAUGCCUUUAUAUUUCUCUAUUAUUCUUUGUAGUCCUAUAGGGGACUCUUACAUGCGCUUCAUAUAGUUUUGACAUACAAUAAUAGACCAUAUAUAAACUGGGGGAAAAAUCUAGAAUGAGUCAAAGCUGUCUUUGUAGGACACUGUGAAUAUUCUGGAUACAAUGGUGCAGUGCAACAAGGUGCAAAGAUGUAAAAAGGGCAGAGUCACCAUCAUUGCACCCUGUUCAACUGGUUUCCAUGGUGAUUGCCACACUUUUUCUACUUUAUAUCAUACUCUACAUAACAUGUUUUUUGCAUAACCCCUGAUAUUUCAGAGUUGCUGAGCAUAGAUCUAUUUUCAUGAAUAUGAAACUUUUAUUAUUUUUUAUUACCUGUGUUUGAGAUGGACUUGUGUGGAAGUAGUGGAGAGUUGUAUGUAGUACUCCUUUUUUACACCCCCUUUACAUCCCAAUAAUGCGACAUGAGACAUAGUUGGUGAAAAUAGGCCACAACAAUUUUUAAUUAAAAUAUUUUGCCAAACGAUAUUACCAAUACUUUGUAUCAAAUAUAUAUAAUCUUUAAUAAUUUGAACAUCAAACAAUAUAACUUAACAAUACAACUUAACAAGGUUCCAUAAACAUCCGUCCUUGCCAACCAAUUAUCCGUAACCUUGGAACUCAUCUGGGCACUUGCCCUCCCCCUUGUCCCAACCAACACUGGCCACAAAACCUGGCCUUCCACCAACACCAUGCUAACCAGUAGCUGACCAUUGGCUCAGUGGGCACGUCCUCAAUAAACCAUACCUUAACUUCAUCGAAGCUAAGGGAGGGAUCAGCCCCACUUUCCUUCACUCACAUUGGACCCCCCAGUCCAACCCACGUUUGGCAAGGACAACCACCCACCACAAGACCCCGCUGUUUUACCCGCUAAAAUAAGUGGGGGUGACCACCCAUAAAAGCCAUGGCUUGUUCCAAGCCUUCUUGCAACGCCAAGUUAAAAAAAUCCAAACCCACAUCAGUAAAGUGAACCCCAACACCCCUAAAGUACAUAGCUGUUUCCCGUUCAAACACGCAAUGCCGCUCACAUUGCUUGAAACCAAACUCUAUUAAGUAGACUCUUUCAAGAAGGAGUUAGAAAACCAGGAGUUCAUUGGAGAGUGCUUUGUAUACUGUGGAGAGUGAUUUGUAUUUUAUUUUUGUUUAAUUUGAUUUAUUAGCUAAGGUUUUUUAAAAAGUUUUUAUUUUAAAGUUUUUCCCCCUCCUUUGUGCUGCUGCUUGAUUAAUUGGGGGGAGUGUUCAUUAAUUUCCACCUGUAUGGGAUUUGUAUUCCCAUAUAAGCACACCCCUAACUCACUGAGCUUGCACACAUUGCUUGAAAAGCAAAAAAAGGGAAAUCAGCUAUUGGUUGGGAUAUGUUAUAAACCACCUAAUGUUAAUAGUAAUGAGGAACAACAGCUGUUUGAGCAAAUUGAGAAUACUGCAAAUCUGGGUAACACAUUAAUAAUUGGAGAUUUUACCCGGACAUAAAUUGGGACAGAGGGACCAAUAGCUCAGCAAAGGGAAUUAGGUUUUUGAACUUGUUAAAUGACACCUUCAUGUCACAUCUUGUACAAGCACCAACUAGAAAGAAUGCUUGUUUGGACAUGGUUCUAACAAACAACGGUGAUCUUUUGACCAACAUUCAAGUAGGUGAGCACUUGGGAAAUAGUGAUCACAAUAUAGUGUCCUUUGAAAUAAACUCAAAAAAACAAAAGCACACGGGGUAUACUAAAACAUAUCAUUUUAAAAAGGCCAAUUUCUAUAAGUUAAGGGCAGCUUUGCAAUAUAUUGACUGGCAUAAACUAUUUAGUGAAAAGAACACUGAGGAUAAAUGGAACAUCUUAUCAAUAUUAGAAAGGUACAUUUCUCAGUAUGUACUAUUGGGUAAUAAAUAUAAAAGAAACAAAUUUAAACCAAUGUGGCUUAGUAGAGAAGUAAAACAAGAGAUUAAAAAUAAGAAAAUGGCAUUUAAAGCAUUUAAAUUAGACAAAUCAAAUGUAUCCUAUAAAAGAUAUAAGGAAGCCAAUAAUCAAUGCAAAAAGGCGAUUAAAUUCGCUAAACUUAAAAAUUAAAAAAUUAUAGCCAAAGAGUGCAAAACCAACCCCAAAGCAUUUGUGAUGGACCCUCCGUCAAUCGAUGCUCCUAGUGCUUACCAAGGACCAUCAGCACCGCACUAGACACCAUCAGCACUGCAGAUCCCAUGAACCGCCACAGCUUGGCUGGUAACUCUACCCACCCUGAACCUACGACAAGGCUCCAGGUUCCAGUGGGUGAACCUCUCCUCCAAGAGAGAGUAGCAGGAACAAGCUCUUAAAAGAGCUUAGUGAUUCUAGCCCAGGGGAGUAUACAGAGUAUAGCAAUCCCCCAUUGUAGAUGCAGCCUUUUCCCCCACACAUGAGACGAGGCUCUAUGUUGAGGGUAAAACAGGAACUCAGCAGAUCUGAGGGUUUAUUGUCUUUUAUACAGUUUUGGCCACAAAGCUACCACCCAGGUGGACCUUGAGGAGCACAAGACCCUUUUUAGUUUAGUAAAACAUCGCCUGAGAGGUGAUAUGAUAACAUUCGGGGCCAAUACAAACCAUUGUGUGGAAAUCUAUUCAGAAACCGAACUUUACAUAGGACACAAGGUCAUGCGUUUAGACUGGAAAAAAGAUGAUUUUGUCUAAGGCAAAGAAAAGGUUUUUUUACUGUAAGAACAAUAAGGAUGUGGAAUUAUCUGCCUGAAGAAUUGGUCUUAUCAGAGUUCAAAGAGAAUUAGAUGCAUAUUUGCAAAAACAGAAUAAUCAAGGAUAUAUUUUUCAAUGUAGGGUAAUAGCUGCUUGAUCCAAUGAUAAAUUUUUUCCUAGUUUGUUGCAAAAUUGGAAGUGCUUCAAACUGUUUUUUUUUUGCCUUCUUUUGGAUCAACAGCAAAAAACAAAUGUGAGGAAGGCUGAACUUGAUGGAUGCAAGUCUCUUUUCAGCUAUGUAACUACGUAACUAUGUAAAACCCCCAACUCCCAACACAAACGUAGAAACCCGUCUAUUGAGCUUUACCCGACACCGAUCCAUGGCCAAAUGAUCCCUAUCAAACCUCCAAUAAUUAUUGGACACAAGCUCAGAUCACACCAGACAGAUGUUGAGAAACAGCACAUAAAUACUGGCACAGAUCGUAGCCCCCAAGAUGAACGAUCAGGAACUCCCAAGAGAUGGGACAAGCGGUCCAGCUUCGGAACCAGCUGCACCCACCACAUACCACAGACACCAAACCAUCGCACUUCUGCCAUUGGCGGGGACAGAACCAGUUGACAUAACCCGGGGUGGACCAUGUUCCUCUGCUGGGCCCAGUAGAUGUACGAGUGCCCAAUCACCCACACACGCCAGGAUUUGGAGACACAACAGGGGAAAUUGCAAUCAGACCACAGGGCCAAACGUAUGAAAACAUGUCGGCGGGUAGACCACCCACCCUGAGAUGCCCUGUAAAACGACACAUGCUGCAAGUCCCAGCACAUCCGUCUUAGAACAGCGGAUCAAAAAAUGAAUUGAUGCAGCCUCGCAGUAAACAUCCUGAUACCAAACACCCCCUGGAACCCGGUUAGAUGGGCUAACCAACUCCCAAAUCUGAAGCACCCCAAAAAAGGCAAGAGAAAAAGUGAGCCGAAAGAGCACCACCUCACAACUGGAAAAGCAAAAGAAUAAAAAACAGACCCAAAAGCAAGGCCCCGGACACGGGCCUGUGCGAAAUUGGGGCCCUAUGGGCUCUCCUCAAACCCUCUCAUUGCCCACACGACCAUCACGUCCUUAGUGACAUCCGGAACCCUGAACAAUUUGACCCAAAAACUGAUUGUUUAGCCUUGACCAAAGCCGGCAAGCACCCAGAAGCUCCCCAAAACCAGAGGAGCUGAAGCAACUGAAAACGGAAACCCACGACAGCCAACCAAUCCCCCAAAGCCUUACCAUAAUGGGAUCAAGUAGCCUCAGAGACUGAUGCCCAAAUCCAAACUGCUACAUGGUCUGCCCAAGGGACCACAGUUCUGUCGGGCAGGGGAACCCAUCUGCUUCUUGGGUGUGGCUACACGAAAUUCCUGCCACUGCAAAUGAGAGAAGGAAUCCGCUGUAACCUUUUUGACCCCAGGAAUGUGAAUCACCCUGCAAACAAUAUUCAGCAACAAACAGCACAACACAAGUCGAUGCAGCAGCCGAACCACCGAGGGGGAAAAAAGCUAGAACCACCCCCAGAUUAUCACAAUGGAAAGCAACCCUGCAGUCCUGCAGCAACGAUCCCCACAGCUGAUUGUUUAGCCUUGACCAAAGCCGGCAAGCACCCAGAAGCUCCCCAAAACCAGAGGAGCUGAAGCAACUGAAAACGGAAACCCACGACAGCCAACCAAUCCCCCAAAGCCUUACCAUAAUGGGAUCAAGUAGCCUCAGAGACUGAUGCCCAAAUCCAAACUGCUACAUGGUCUGCCCAAGGGACCACAGUUCUGUCAGGCAGGGGAACCCAUCUGCUUCUUGGGUGUGGCUACACGAAAUUCCUGCCACUGCAAAUGAGAGAAGGAAUCCGCUGUAACCUUUUUGACCCCAGGAAUGUGAAUCACCCUGCAAGCAAUAUUCAGCAACAAACAGCACAACACAAGUCGAUGCAGCAGCCGAACCACCGAGGGGGAAAAAAGCUAGAACCACCCCCAGAUUAUCACAAUGGAAAGCAACCCUGCAGUCCUGCAACAACGAUCCCCACAGCUCCAAGGCCACCACUAUUUGGAACAAUUCGAAAAACGCAAGAUUCUUUGUGAGGCCCAACACGUGCCAGGCAUCCGGCCAUGUAUCCGCACAGUGGGUGCCCAAUACAGCUCCAAGUUCUACCGAUCCUGUCACGUCAGUGAGCAAGUGCAGUUCGGCAUUGGAUACUUCUGGCACCUGCCAAUAGGACUGCCCGUUAAAAGCCACCAGAACGGCAUCUCAGACUGCCAGAUCCUAUUUUAAGGGGAGUGUCAAAUGCCCAAAAUGUCGAGGCCUGGGCAGGAUGUGACAUGCAAUCUUAAACUUUCUUAACAGUGCCUGCAGCUGGUGCAGCGGAAUCUUCCUCAUGCCCAAUGCCGCUGCCACCCGAGCGUGCAAAUCCUCCACCUUAUCCGCCGGGAGACAACAUUCCCACCAAGUCAAGUUUGAUGUCAAGAAAGUUCAAGCAAGUAGUUGGGUCCACAGUCUUGUCCGGGGCCAACGGCACCCCGAAUGACUCUGCCACCAACUGCACCGAAAACAGCAGCCGCAUGCACCUCCCUGAAAUCCCUGGACCUAUGUACAAAGAUAUCAUCCAAAAAAUGCAGAACGAAGUCACAGCCUGACUCCAUACGCACUACCCAUUCGAAGAAGGAACUAAAACACUCAAAAGAGAAUUAAAAAAUUGAACAACCCAUCGGAAGAAACACGUCAAGAAAGAAUUGACCAAUAAAGCAGCACCCCAAGAGAUGAUGGCACUCUGGAUGUACCUGAAGCAACCAAAAUGUGGCUUCAAUGUCUGAGUGCCCCAGGACAAGUAGGUGAUGUCAUCAUUCGCUGAGCCCCAGAAGGGGUACGAGAAAUGGUGAAUCAGUUGUAACUUACCCGCUUCUUUUUUGGGGACCACCCCAAGAGGGGAGACCCGGAGGUGCGGAAAUGGAGGCACCCAAAAGGGGCCGCCGUACGCCCCAACAACACUUCCUUCAUUAGCUUCAAAGUAGGUAAAGGUUAUUGCCUAAAGAAACAUGUAUGAAAAACAAUAUGUUCCAUUUCUAACACCUUGUCAGUUUGCAAUAUCUCUUAAAGACAAAGUACACAAUUUGAGAAAUACAAUAUUAGCAUUUGCCCAUAACAACGCCCUCCAAAUUGUUUCCUGGUAGUAGAAGAGGGACGAGCACUUGGCAGGAGCCUUCUCCCCUAUGACACUGGCCAGGAUAGAAAAGGUCCGAAUCCAGUUACCAAACGUUUUUGGAAUUUUCAGAAAGCUUUCUCUGAUUUGUUAGCAUCCUUGUCCGGGGGAAGGUAAGUCCUCUAACAGGAGCAGCCCCAACCUAUCACUCUUUCGUUUACUGAUUUAAAUUCCAAAUGAAAUGUAUAGAAACUGAUAUUUAAGUUAAUCUGAUAUUGGAGAAGCCUAAGCAGAGGGAGAACAGAAUAUGUUUAAAAUAAAUAUGACAUUAUAUGAAUAUCAUGUAUGUAAGGAGGAGUGUCUGAACUAUUUACCUGAAGUAUAAAAGUCACAGAAUGGAAAUAUAAUGCACGCAUAAUAGUUACACACAGAAGUCACUGGAACACUGACAGACAGACUCUUACUCAUUUGACACUUACUGACUCACACACACCUACUAAAAGACACACACACUCACUGACAGACACACACACAAUUGCACUCAGAGGACACUGACACAUAUGGUUACAUACAGGGGACAAUGACACAUUUACACACAGAAGACACUGACACACGGACAAUUAACACACAGAUGACACUGACACACACAUUUACACACAGAGGAAAUGUAUACACAAACGUACACACAAAGGACACUGACACACAUAUAUUCAUUGAUAGAGACACACACUCACUGACCGGUACACUCACUGAUUUAAAACUCACUGACAGACAAACCCAUUAACACACAGUCUCACUGAUUUGACACACAAUGACAAACACAUGCACUGACACAUGCCCUCACUGACUUGACACAUGCAUUCACUUGCAGACACACAUUCACUGACAGACACACUCACUGGCACACACUCUCAGUGAUUGGACAUACACAUUUACUGGCAGACACAUACACAUUCUUAAAUUGUUUAUUUUUUUAUUUGAGUCUAUCCAGCCGCCCUAGUUUUGGCAGAGAUAGAGUGGAUCCUUUCCCUGGGACCCAGUGGACAUCAUUUCCCUGGGGUCAAGUGUGAGGCUUGUGUAAUAUUUGUGCUCUUUGAGAUCUACUCCUUUGUGCGCUGUUUAAUGAUGCUGGAGUGAUGUCACAACUUGGCUCCUGGCAUCACCACAGGAGGGAGCAGUGCUGGAAGAUAAUGAAGAUUACAGCUCCAUCGUUGACACUGCUCCAGUCUCUCACUGGACACUUUAUUUGGGCAGGGUAGGCACCGACUGUCUGGGUAACUAGGUGCAUAGGCGUGCGCAGCCUAUUGCAAUAGGGUGUGCACCCUAAAGCACAAACACAUGCCGCGUGUGUGUGUGUGUAUGUAUCUAUAUAUAUAUAUAUAUAUAUAUAUAUAUAUAUAGAUACAUACACACACACACACAGUGUGCUGUGUGCUGUUAGUGUGAUGUGUGUGUGAGGGUGCUGUUACUGUGAUGUGAGGGUGUUUGUGUGUGUGUGUUUGUGACUGUGCUGUUUGUGUGUGAGGGUGUUUGUGUGUGUAUGUUUGUCCUGUGAGGGUGCUGUUUGUGUGAGUGUCGUGUAUUUGUGAGGGUGCUGUUAGUGUGCUGUGUGUGAGGGUGUUGUGUUUUAAAGGUGCUGUGUGUGUUUGGGAGGGUGCGGUUAGUGUACUGUGUGUGUGUGAGCCGUAUGUGUGUAGGUGCUGUAUGUGUGUGUGCUGUAUGUUUGGAGGGAUUUGGCAGAUUAGUAAAUCCUUGCUGCCAUGUGCCAUCCCUGGUAGUCCAGAGGAGAGCGAACUCUAGCCUGCGGGGCUAGAGUUAACUCUUGCGAGAUCUGAGCGUUGCUGCAGCAACACUCAGAUAUCGCGAGAGGAACCUGGCAGAGCUUCUGUCUAGAGCUCCCUGGGUCCUCUCCUGCCUCCCUCCAUGCUGCUGUGGGCCGGUGAGCUAGAUCUUUGAUCUCCCCGCCGGCCCAUGGAGGCUUAGAGCAGAGCCGGCACUCAGAUAGCGCCGGCUCUGCAUGUGUGUGUGUGUGUAUAUAUAUAUAUAUAUAUAUAUAUAUAUAUGCGUACACACACACUCACAGACACAUUCAGACACACACAUACAUACACUCACAGACACACACACAUUCACAGACACACACUCACACAGACACACACACUCACACAGACACACACAUACACAGACACACUCACACACACACACAUACACUCACAGACACACUCACACACACACAUACACUCACAGACACACAUUCACAGACACACUCACACACACAGACACACUCACACACACAGACACACUUACACACACACUCACACAGACAAACACAAACACUCACACACAGACACACUCACACACAGACACACACUCACACACACACAUACACUCACAGACACACAUUCACAGACACACACUCACACACUCACACACACACACACACAGACACACUCACACACAGACACACACACACUCAAACACAGACACUCACACACAGACACACACACACAGACACACACAGACUCACACACACACACACAAGAACAAAUUAUUAUAUUUUAAUUAAAAAAAAUGUCCACCCAGCCUCCUACCUGGAGUGCUGGUGUGGACUUGUCCCUGGGGUCCAGUGGGGCGGGCGCCUCUCUCCAGCUCAGCCACGGCGAGGGAGUUGUCUGCUCUCUGCUCCCUCUCGCCGCGAGGGCUGUCUACAGUAGCUGGGAGCCGGAAUAUGACGUCAUAUUCCUGCUCCCGGCUUCAGCGCGCGGCGAGCUGGAGGGGGGGAUCCAUCACCUCUUGCCCCCCCAUAACAGGGGCAAGAGGUGAGACAGGGGGAGUUGAGUGCCUGCAGGAACAGCGUUGUUCCUGCCGGACUCAAACCAUAGGCAUUCCAUGGGGAUUAGGGUGUGCCCAGGCACACCCGGCACACCCCGUGCACACGCCUAUGACUAGGUGUCUGCUUUGCCUUAAAGCAAAGCCAACCCCCUCAGUGGGUUGCUAAGGUGCCCAGCCAACCAGCUCUUGGAGUACACCUUACUUUUUGUGAGCGUACCCACUGGUUGAGAAACAAGGGUUUAGAGCAUUCAAGUCUACACCAUGAUGUUUCUUACCUCAUGGUCAAGAGAAACACAAAAACUGAAAGAAAUAAUGAGAAACUUCCACAUUACCGCAUGUUUAUCAAAUGAAACAUAGAGCCUGGUAGAAACUAACAUGGUGAACCUCAAACUUAACCCCUUAAGGACACAUGACAGAAAUAUUCCGUCAUGAUUCCCUUUUAUUUCUGAAGUUGUGUCAUUAAGGGGUUAAAUAAACAAAAAUAUAUUUGACAGACAGAUAUUAAUUAUAUAUCAUUAUGUUUUUAAGGGGAACUGUAAUCCCAGAACUUUGAAUAUGAAAUUUACGUAUAUCCAUAUCAAACAAAGUAUGUGAGUGGUGUGAAAAAUAAAAUGAAAUAUAAAAAUUCACUCCUCUUUAUCCUGCAACUAGUGUUUUCAUCUUAGCUCCCCUUUAAUUAUUGCCAUAAGUGCUGGCAGACAGUACAGAAAAAGACUAUGGAUAAAUUAUACAAUGUAUGCUUAUUAUUAUAAUAAUCUUAUUAUUUAUAUAGCACCAAAAAAUUCUGCAGUGCUUUACAAUGGGUGGAGGAACAGACAUGUAGUUGUAAUCAGACAAGUUAGACACACAGGAACAGAGGGGUUGAGGGCCCUGCUCAGUGAGCUUACAUUCUAGAGGGAGUGGGGUAAAAUGACACAAAAAGGUAAGGAUAGUAUUAGACUAGUGACAGUUGCAAGAGAGGAAUCAGUCAGGAGCUAUUAACAGUUUAAUUGAUACGCUUUUAUAAAGAAGUGGGUUUUUAAUGAUUUUUUGAAGUAGUGGAGACUGGGUGAGCAUCUAAUGGAAGAGGGAAGCAAGUUCCACAGGAACGGUGCAGCCCUCGAGAAGUCUUGAAGGCUUCUAUUUCUAUUUUUUUAUUUGUAAUAUUUGCUCUUGCUUUGCCUUGUCUGCACUGGAUUAUGAUGUAACUGCUAAAUCUUUAAACAUGAAUUUAAAAGAAAAUGAAGCAUUAAAUGAAAAAAAGGUUAACAAUUUUUUUUCAAUGGUGUAAAUUUCCGAUAAGUGAUAGCUUCCCUUCAAGCAGAGUUAUAAAUAUUAAGGGAUGUAGUGCACACACUUUCAGUGCCUUUUUGACUUUGAAAGUGUGUGCGACAUUACUAAUAACAAAAAAGUAUUAAUUGAUUGGCAUAACUAAUAACAGCUCAAUACAGAACCAGGUUACUGAAGAUGAGAUUGAUUACUGUAACGGAGCUUCUUGUACCCCGGUUGGGUACCUCCGCCGACGGAUGCUCCUAGUGCUAGACUUUAAAUCUAGAACAAAGAGACUUCCUGUCUGACAAAAAAAAACUACAGUAUAUAAAACAGAAUGAGCCCAUGCAUAAAAUAAAGACACUUUCAGAUGAAAUAAAUUCCUUUAAUGGGACAUCUGACUGAACCCUCGAUCUUUAGACAUAGACGAGUUACUGUACAUCUGAAAUGACUUGCAUGGAACUCAGAUAACCCACAUGUAAGACAAACAGUGGCGUACUAAGGGGGGUGGAGGGGGUGGUCCGCCCCGGGUUCCACUGGGUGGGGGGUGCCAUGACCCUGGUCUGGGUGCUGAAGGGGGAUUUGUGAGCUGUAUGGCCGCACAGUUCCCCAUGGUAGUUAGGGUGCCGUGCAGCCAGAACAGCUCACAUACGCAAGGAGCAGCUGAAUUGGCCGCACAGAGGAAAAGUGGGGGUGGAGCUAAGCAAAAUUGGGGGCGCAGCCGAACCAACAGCAAGGGCGAGGCUUACCUUACCCGCUGCUGUUUGGAGGUGCAGCAAGAUGGAAUCUGCUUUUCCACAGGCUUCAGAGAAGGACUUCAGGGAAUCCAGUCCUCCUCCAGCCCACUGUCUGUAAGUAAGAGUGUGUGUGUGUGUCUGUGUGUGUGUGUGUGUGUGUGUGUGUGUGUGAGACUGUCUGUGUGUAACUGUCUGCCAGUAACUGUGUGUGUGUGUGUGUGUGUGUGUGUGUGUAUAACUGUAUGCCUGUAACUAUGUGUCUGUGUGUGUAUGUGUGUGUGUGAGAUUGUCUGCCUUUAACUGUGUGUGUAACUGUCUGCCUGUAACUUUGUGUGUGUUUAUAUGUGUGUGUGUGUGUGUGUGUGACUGUCUGCCUGUAACUGUGUGUGUGUCUGUCUGUAAGUGUGUGUGUGUGUGUAACUCUCUGCCUGUGACUGUGAGUGACUAUAUAUGUGACUGUCUGUCUGUAACUGUGUGCAUGACUGUCUGUGACUGCAUGUGUGACUGUGUGUGUGUGACUGUCUGCCUGUAACUGUGUGUGACUGUCUGCCUGUAACUGAGUGUGUGACUGUCUGCCUGUAAAUGUGUGUGUGUGUGUGUCUGUCUGUAAGUGUGUGUGUGUGUAACUCUCUGCCUGUGACUGUGAGUGACUAUAUAUGUGACUGUCUGUCUGUAACUGUGUGCGUGACUGUCUGGCUAUGACUGUGUGUAACUACCUGUAACUGACUGUGUGUAAUUGUCUGCCUGACUGUCUGCCUGUGACUGUUUGAUGUUGCCUGUAACCGUGUGUAAAUAUCUGUCUGUGACUGUGUGCAUGUGACUGUCUGUUGCUGUUGUGUGUGUGUGUCAAUGUAUAUGUGACUGUCUGCCUGUAACUGUGUGCAUGACUGUCUGUGACUGUAUGUGUGACUGUCUGCAUGUGACUGCGUGUCUGUAACUGUGUGUGUGUGUGUGUCUGCCUGUAUGUGUGUGUGUGUGUGUGUAAUUCUCUGCCUGUGACUGUGUGUGUGAGUGACUGUAUAUGUGACUGUCUGUCUGUAACUGUGUGCGUGACUGUCUGGCUAUGACUGUGUGUAACUACCUGUAACUGACUGUUUGUGUAACUGUCUGCCUAUAACUGUGUGUGUGACUGCAUGUGACUCUGUUUGUGUGACUGCCUGUGACUGUUUGAUGUUGCCUGUAACCGUGUGUGACUGUCUGUGACUGUGUGCAUGUGACUGUCUGCUGCUGUCAUGUGUGUAUGUCAAUGUAUAUGUGACUGUCUGCCUGUAACUGUGUGCAUGACUGUCUGUGACUGCAUGUGUGACUGUGUGUGUGUGACUGUCUGCCUGUAACUGAGUGUGUGACUGUCUGCCUGUAAAUGUGUGUGGGGGGUUGCAGGAAUUUUGUUGAAGGGGGCAGGGUUUUGUAUUGGGACAGGAGUCUUUAUAAGGGGGGAUAAGCAGGGGAUUUGUGGAAGGGGGUUGCGGGGGGUUUGUAGACAGGGGCAGUACAUGAUUUGCAGAAGGGGGCAGGACAGGGGUUUUGUAGGAGGGGCUGACAGCCAUUUUGCAAAGUUUACAAAUUGUAAAAAAAAAAGAAAACCUUUAACAUUUUUAACAGGUUUUUUUUUUUUUAGGGGGAGGUGGGGCUAGGGGGUGCCAAGCACAGGAUCCGCCCCGGGUGCCAAAUGCUCUAGGUACGCCCCUGAAGACAAAUACUCCCAUAUUUGAAGCUGAACCUGUAUAAGAACAGGUGCUUCUUUAUUAGUACGGAGAGACUCCUGGUGUAACAAAAACACCAUGAAUGUGGGUGAGACUUGCUGUGUGUGAGUCAAAGACACUCUAAAUUUGAAACUAUGUGACUCCCAGAGAGACAGAGAAAUGCACUAUAGUAUGUAAACAUUAAGAGAUUAACAGCAGCUGCUAGAAGAUGAUUCAAACUCUGGACUUAAUCCACAUGAGUCUGCAAAUGGAUUGGUUUAGAGUAUAAAACAGAGGGAGCUGGCUUCUAUGAAACUAGUCACAGCCUCAUCCCUUGGAAGUCCAUUUGAUACUUUAAUGACAUGCACUUUCCGUAAGAUGGACUCUGCAAUCCUACAUGAUCUGGAGAUAUAGUAAUCCAAAAUUACACCUGUUCCCAACAAGGACAUAAAAGGAACAUGAUCUCAUAGCCAGCAGGACACAUUAGUGCACCUCGGCUUAACACGUCAGUGUUUAUAGAUCUGAUUUAUCAUUCAAGAGAUAACACAUUUCAUCUCCUUAUCCAUCUUGCUGCCAUGUACAUUAUUUGUUUAUUGCCUGACAUAAUGAACCUGCAAAACAUUAAUAAUUUUUAUUAGAAGCAAAAUUAGACUGUACAAUAUUUCUCUAGGCAAAGUUUAAACCCAUAUAAUAAACCAUGCAAUGCUAGUGUCAUCAUUUUGUUAAGUAACACUGGAUACAUUCUAGAUAUAGCAUGCACUUAUUUAAAACUACUACUGUUUGCCAGGGCCAGACUGGGAAUAAAAAGCAAGGAAUAAAAAUUCUAUACCAGCCCCAUAACACAUCGCACCAGCAUAGUGUGCAGAUAUAGAGACAGAAACGAUAAUUGAAAAUUGAAAACUAAAAACUAUUACUCUAGCGUGAAAGAAAGUACUCAUAGGGCUUCAAAAAACGCCCCAAAAGAGUGAUUUUAUUUUAACCCCUUAAGAACGGAGCCAAUUGUACAAGUUGUGAUCAAGACAAAAUGUAUACAAAACCUGAAAUCUUUGUUAUAUGUCUGUUCAACUGUAAUUCACCUCUUUCAUAUUAAGGGCACACACGUAUUAUAUAUAAUUUUAUUCAGGAUAAACAAGGCUUUCAUUUAACAGCAAAUGUUUAGCUAUGAAACAUAAUUUAAUAUGAAUAAAAUAUUUUAAAAAUUGAGAAAUUAAGAAAUGUUGUUAUUUUUUUAGUUCUGCAUGGCAUUUUAACCCCUUAAGGACGGCUAUGCCAUCCUUGGGGACCCGGCUCUAAACGCCGGUGGACAGCAUAGUAUGUCCACGCCAUCCUAUGUACUUACCUGCUCGCCAGCGAUCCCACUCCGGCGAUUGCGAUGGUGGGGACUUGCCUGGCAUCCCAGGCAGUCCAGCUGCUGCUGAUCUAGCCCUCCUGGGCCAUGUGAUGGCGAGGUCCUUGCGAGGACUUCACGAUCACAUGGACGGAAUAGCCGUCCAUUGCAGUACCAGCAGGGGGAGUGCAUGAAAUGACAGUUAGUACCCCUGCUGCCUGAAAUAAAAUAUACAUACACAUACACUGUCUAAGUGUAUUUUACUAUUAAUAUAUAUAAUUAUAUAUAUAUAUAUAUAUAUAUAUAUAUAUAUAUAUAUAUAUAGAUAUCAUAUUAUCAAAACACACGUAAAAUUAUAUUAUAUAUAUAUAUCGUUUUUGUUUCUUGGAUGGAAUAAACCACAUUUGAUAUUCAGAAGUCCGUGAGUGCAGCCUGCUUUGUUUUGUGUACUAUAUAUAUAUAUAUAUAUCAUCAAAUUGAAAAUAUAGGAUGCACUCACAGGACUUGGUGAAAAAAAUGUAGUUUUAUUUAUUCAAGGUGCAAACCAAAAACCAACGUUUCGACCUCUGUGGGUCUUUUUCAAGGUUACUGUAACAAACAAAAUCAUAUCAAUAUAUACAUAAAGUAUGAGUGCACUUACCAAUCAUUUUCGUUGUGAAUCCCUGCACCGGUGCCCGGAAGUGAGAUAGGGCCGCCCCGUGACGUCAUAACGUCAUUACGUAUGGCGGAAAGCUCAGUGAUUACUAUAGAAACAGGUAAACUAUGCAAGUGAAACCCGUGUGGGUAAGGGAAAGUGAAACCGGUGUUAUGAUAGAGACAAUCGAGAUGGAAGAAAUAAAAGCAUUAGCAAAAUACAUUGGGCGAUUGAAAAGAUGCCUGCUAAACCCAAAACACCUAAAAAAAACUGUGCAAGUGCCAAUGUGUAUCUACAUUAAAAACGUGAAACAGUGACAAAUCAACUAUGUGGCAAAACAAGUGGUAUCUAGGCAUCAAAUGUAUGUAUGUUAGAAUGUUGAAAGCAACUCGUCCCACUCUUGUUAAAGACAAAUAAUAGUCAUAAAUAUUGACACUCACUAAUCUAUACAUUCAGAGCUAUCCACCUUAACAGAUAACAAAUGCAUCAUAGAUAUGCUGAAACAUAUUGCUCAACAAAAAACAAAACACAAAAGAAAGGGGGACUAUUCGCUAAAUACAUUUUAGUAAAAAAUCUAACAAUCCCAAAAAAAUCUAAUCGAAAAAUUAUAAACAUUUGGAGACAUCCUACUUAGCAGCAGAUAUUAUGUCAAAUUCAACCAAAAUGUUCUGAGACAAAUUACUAUAAACCCUAAAAAAGGGGACUAUUCACUAAACCAAAUUUUUUUUAAGAGAACAGCCAAUUUGAAAAGUAAUCAAUAAACUAAAACGGAUACUAAUUCUAGAUACUAUAUGCAUAUCAGAAUAUAAUGCUAUUAUAUGACACCACAACCAAAAUUCAAACUACCACGAUUUAAAGAAACAUGGAGUACGUAACAUGUUCAUUAAGUCCCUUAGGGGAAGCUGUGUCCAAAUAAUGGAUCCAAUAUGCUUCCCUCUGUAGCAAUAUUUUGGAUCUGUUACUGCCUCGGUACGGAGGUGGGACAUGGUCGAUCGCGAUAAAUCUCAGUGUGGGCAAUCGGUAUUGUAAAGCCAAAUAAUGUUUGGCAACUGUUUUUUCUGAGUGUUGAUCCCGGAAAGCUGUAGUUAUACCUGAGCGAUGUCCUCUUAUUCUAUCCUGGAGUGUUAAAUCUGUCUUACCCACGUAUGAUAGCCCGCAAGGGCAUGUGAUCAUGAAAUGACAUGAUCCGUCAUACAAGUGAUAUGAUGCUGAAUGGAAAUACGUUGACCAGUUUGUGGAUGGGCAAAGGAUGUACCAGUUACACAUCCUGUGCAUCUGUAGCAACCUUUUUUCUUGAUUACUUUAGCUUGUUGGUAACAGUGUACUGGAUCAUUACGGACCAGCAUAUCCCUCAAACUCCUCUUCCGUCGGUAACUAAUAACUGGUGGUUUUUGAAAAAUUGGUGAUAAAUGCUUGUCUGCCUUUAGUAUAUCCCAGUGUUUUCUAUAUAGUGUUCUUGAUCGGUGAACUAUUAGUGUGAAAGGUGAGUGGAAGAAAUAUGCAUUCUGUUGAUUGAUCACUGAUUCUUUCAUACAUUUGAUGCCUAGAUACCACUUGUUUUGCCACUUAGUUGAUUUGUCACUGAUUCACGUUUUUAAUGUAGAUACACAUUGGCACUUGCACAGUUUUUUUUAGGUGUUUUGGGUUUAGCAGGCAUCUUUUCAAUCGCCCAAUGUAUUUUGCUAAUGCUUUUAUUUCUUCCAUCUCGAUUGUCUCUAUCAUAACACCGGUUUCACUUUCCCUUACCCACACGGGUUUCACUUGCAUAGUUUACCUGUUUCUAUAGUAAUCACUGAGCUUUCCGCCAUACGUAAUGACGUUAUGACGUCACGGGCGGUCCUAUCUCACUUCCGGGCACCGGUGCAGGGAUUCACAACGAAAAUGAUUGGUAAGUGCACUCAUACUUUAUGUAUAUAUUGAUAUGAUUUUGUUUGUUACAGUAACCUUGAAAAAGACCCGCAGAGGUCGAAACGUCGGUUUUUGGUUUGCACCUUGAAUAAAUAAAACUAAAUUUUUUUCACUAAGUCCUGUGAGUGCAUCCUAUAUUUUCAAUUUGGUUAUAUAUGGAACGCAACAUGGAUGGCACCCAGGAAGGUAUUCAAUUAUAUUUUUAAGGAGAGUGCCAAGCUAUUAUUUAUUUAUAUAUAUUGGGUGAGCGUUACACCCUCUUGAGCACCCCAAUUUUUCAUUUACAAUAUACUAUUUUUUUAGUAUUUGUCCUGCCACUUUUUCAAGUUGUCUUCAGGAUGGAAGAUUUUUUGGCUAGAUCUGGAGCUCUGGCUGACACAGCAGAAACGCUGAGUGUGGCAAACAUAGCCACUUAGACUAUAUCAAGAGACUGUACUUUUAAGGGUUGCCUGUAUGUCGGUGGGGAUAUGUGUUCAACUAUGUAUAUUGUAUGCUGGCUGUAAUACCUUGAAUUGCCUGUAAUUGCUAUCUGCCAAAUGCAGAUAGCUAUUUGUAUGGGGUUUUCCUUUCGUUUCACGAACGGCACUUUGGCGGGCCGUUCGUGAACCGAAAACACUAUCCCUAAUAGCCCACACACUUAGAGGCGUGUGGCACUUGUUAACCGAUUGCAACAAUGUUGCAAUCGGUAAUUAGAGGCUCUCCUGGGUGGCCGUCGUUCGACUACCGACCAUGCGGCGGUCGGCCAUCUUGGAUCCUUUGUUCCCUCAGCGGUGUUAGGUCGUCGAGCGCAUGGUACUAAAAACGGCUACUCGACGGCACGAACACCGCUGAGCCUCCAGGACGUUCGGUAGUUCCGGGCCGCUCGGUAUUUCAUUCCCUGGAAGGCAAUCGGUCUUUUGAAUAUGUUUCUUAAUGAAUGUGUUUUUCAUGCGGCGUUCGGUUAUUUUAGCUGGGAUCUGAGCGGUAAUCUCACGAAUGAUGCGCUCAGACCCAGCUAUCUACCGAACGUCCAUUCGUGCAAAUACACUGUAUAUUCGAAAAGUUACAGAUUUUUAUAUAAUUUGUCGGUUCUGCUGCACGGAGGGAUAAUCCACUUAACAGUAUAUUCUAGGAGGAGGAUCCCUCUCGUGCAGCAGUGCCUGAUGGAGAAAUGCUUUGUACUGUAAGUUCCCCAUGUAGUCCUCUAUGGGAAUGCCCCUGGGAAGGGACUCAGGAAACCCCUUGCAUGGGGACUUGUAUAAAUUGUGCAGCAGAAUUAAAGGACUUCAGUUGACUCUCAGAACUGUGUUUCGUCCGGUUACUGGGAGGUUGGGGAUAUUGCCUUGUUGUUUCAGCGCUUGACUGUGGAUUACUUCCUGAACCAGCGGAAUUCGUGGAUUUAAUAUUGGCGUUCCGCUACACUGAGUAUUACUGACGAACAAGCUACAGCCGUACUAUGGCCUCGUACCUCUAAGGAUCUUACACAUACCAACACUGCCAAGGAGCUAUACAAUGAUUUGCUUAAAUUAAAACGACGUGAGAUUGAUUUAGACCUCCAUGGAGUCUUCAUCUCAGACUACUAUAGAGCCAAACGAAUACCAAGAGGUUUCAGAGUUCGCAACGCUCCCACGAUAGGCAGACAAAACCCGGAUUUCUGCAGACACUGGAUGCAAAUAGCCAAUAAAUGUUCUCUAGAUUGGAUGGUCAUAGUUGUAGAGGAGGUGGGGAAAGAGUUAAUUCAAGUUAAAAAAAAGUAUUCAAGAAUUUGAAGUUAGCAAUAUCACCAUUUUGCAAGCACCUUCUACGCAUGAUACCAUGAUCAAACUCCAAGAUGAGAUUCAAAAAUAUCAAAACGACUUAAUAAGAUUUAAGAAACAAAAAUUUAAUAAAGUAAAUCACGAUUACACACAUCACCAAGUGUACAGAUGGCUAAGCGGCAGCGAUACUAACAGCAGGAAUCCUCCAUCAAGAUAUAAGCAGCGGAUCAUGAAACCACGGUUUCAAACCAUUGAUGUCAGCUCAGGUGAGUCCGCCUCUGACGCUGAGACAUUUGAAGGAAUACCCAAAUCUCAAACUACUCCUUUUUUAGAGAGAGAUAUUAUAUCCAAAGAUCCUCUGGAUACACCCAAGGAAAGGAGAGACACAAGAAAAAAAGACCCCUCAGGUGAGGAAAGAAGAGUAACUCGGUACACCAAUACCUCAGGAAGACCUCCGAUCCAGAGAACACGUCCGUAGUGUUCAAUCUGUCAGACAAAAAGCUCACAGAUGACCAUUUUUUUGUUCUAAAUAAAGGACUUACAUUUAUACCUAGUAGAAAACCAGAUGCCUUUGCCAUGGAAAUUGAACUGUACAAAUUAAAUCGUAUCUUGAAUUGUAAUGAAUUCAGAAAAAUUUAAAUCAACCGAUGCCCUAAUACUUUUUCUUCAAGAGAGAAGAAGGACAUUAAAACCAAUAGCAUUGCCAUCAAGUCUUAUAUACAAACAAUACAGAAAGAUGUACAAAGUAUUAUUAAAGUGCCUCCUCAUUCCAGACACAAUUUAACGAUCAAGGAAAAAGACGCUCUCAAAGAUCUUCAACAAGACCCCACAAUAGUCAUCCGCCCGGCGGACAAAGGGGGCGCAAUAGUCAUUCAAUCUUAUCAGCAAUACAGAAAAGAAAUCAUGAGGCAAUUGCAGGAUGAAAAAACUUACAAGAAACUUACAUUUGAUCCAGUUAAGAAGUUUCAACAACGGAUUACUGGCCUUAUUGAAAUAGGUCUUCAAGCAAAUUACAUUGACUCAAAUAUGGCUAAAUUUCUCAGAGUCGAGUUUCCAAUUCAUCCAGUAUUAUAUACCAUACCAAAAAUUCACAAAUCCUUACAAGAGCCUCCGGGAAGACCAAUAGUGUCGGCUAGAGGUGGACUCCUUGAGCCUAUAGCCAAAUUUGUGGAUUUUCACAUACAAGGUUGUGUUAAGGAAAUACCAUCAUGCCUCAGAGAUACUCAAGAUCUAUUAGAUCAAAUAAAAGAGUUAAGUAUCGCAACGGAUGUAGAAUUCAUUUUUGCUACACUUGAUGUGCAAAAUCUAUAUACGGUCAUACCAAUAACAGAAGGCAUUAAUGCGGUACGGGAAAUCCUUCUUAAAACAAAAACGUACCAAGGACCACCGAUUGAAUAUCUUCUGGAAUGGUUAACAUUUGCACUUACUUGCAAUUACUUUAAAUUCGAAACUUCGUUCUAUGUACAAACCUUUGGGACAGCGAUGGGGGCGGCCAUGGCACCUUCAUAUGCCAAUAUAUUUAUGGCCUGGUUUGAACAACAUCAUAUUUUUUCUAUGUUCCACACUAAAAUACUGAAGUAUUUCAGAUUUGUGGACGAUAUUUUGUUACUCUGGAAAGGAACCAAAGAAGAACUUAUUGAAAUGGUUACUACCAUCAAUAACUUACACACUCCGAUUAAACUCACUUCCACAAUUGAUGCUAAUACUAUCCAGUUUUUGGAUGUAUCACUAUUUAAAACUGACAAUGGCAUUGGCUAUACUCUUUUCCAAAAGGAAACAGAUCGGAAUACACUGCUUUUAGCCACCAGUUUUCAUCCGAAACAUUUCAUUGAUUCGUUACCUAUUUCCCAGUUCAUACGUGUACUACGCUACAAUAGUGAUCCCGUCCAAAUGAAUUUACAGUUACAACAAAUGCGACAGAGAUUCUUAGCUAGAGGUUAUUCGUCUCAAAUAUUAACCCUAGCUGAGACUAAAGCAAAAGAAAAAAUUCAGAAAACCUCUGAGAGAAUCAGUGAUCAAUCAACAGAAUGCAUAUUUCUUCCACUCACCUUUCACACUAAUAGUUCACAGAUCAAGAACACUAUAUACAAAUACUGGGAUAUACUAAAGGCAGACAAGCAUUUAUCACCAAUUUUUCAAAAUCCACCAGUUAUUAGUUACCGACGGAACAGGAGUUUGAGGGAUAUGCUGGUCCGUAAUGAUCCAGUACACUGUUACCAACAAGCUAAAGUAAUCAAGAAAAAAGGUUGCUACAGAUGCACAGGAUGUGUAACUGGUACAUCCUUUGCCCAUCCACAAACUGGUCAACGUAUUUCCAUUCAGCAUCAUAUCACUUGUAUGACGGAUCAUGUCAUUUACAUGAUCACAUGCCCUUGCGGGCUAUCAUACGUGGGUAAGACAGAUUUAACACUCCGGGAUAGAAUAAGAGGACAUCGCUCAGGUAUAACUACAGCUUUCCGGGAUCAACACUCAGAAAAAACAGUUGCCAAACAUUAUUUGGCUUUACAAUACCGAUUGCCCACACUGAAAUUUAUUGCGAUCGACCAUGUCCCACCUCCGUACCGAGGCAGUAACAGAUCCAAAAUAUUGCUACAGAGGGAAGCAUAUUGGAUCCAUUAUUUGGACACAGCUUCCCCUAAGGGACUUAAUGAACAUGUUACGUACUCCAUGUUUCUUUAAAUCGUGGUAGUUUGAAUUUUGGUUGUGGUGUCAUAUAAUAGCAUUAUAUUCUGAUAUGCAUAUAGUAUCUAGAAUUAGUAUCCGUUUUAGUUUAUUGAUUACUUUUCAAAUUGGCUGUUCUCUUAAAAAAAAAUUGGUUUAGUGAAUAGUCCCCUUUUUUAGGGUUUAUAGUAAUUUGUCUCAGAACAUUUUAGUUGAAUUUGACAUAAUAUCUGCUGCUAAGUAGGAUGUCUCCAAAUGUUUAUAAUUUUUCGAUUAGAUUUUUUGGGGAUUGUUUGAUUUUUUUACUAAAAUGUAUUUAGCGAAUAGUCCCCCUUUCUUUUGUGUUUUGUUUUUUGUUGAGCAAUAUGUUUCAGAAUAUCUAUGAUGUAUUUGUUAUCUGUUAAGGUGGAUAGCUCUGAAUGUAUAGAUUAGUGAGUGUCAAUAUUUAUGACUAUUAUUUGUCUUUAACAACAGUGGGACGAGUUGCUUUCAACAUUCUAACAUACAUUCAUUUGAUGCCUAGAUACCACUUGUUUUGCCACUUAGUUGUUUUGUCACUGAUUCACGUUUUUAAUGUAGAUACACAUUGGCACUUGCACAGUUUUUUUAGGUGUUUUGGGUUUAGCAGGCAUCUUUUCAAUCGCCCAAUGUAUUUUGCUAAUGCUUUUAUUUCUUCCAUCUCGAUUGUCUCUAUCAUAACACCGGUUUCACUUUCCCUUACCCACACGGGUUUCACUUGCAUAGUUUACCUGUUUCUAUAGUAAUCACUGAGCUUUCCGCCAUACGUAAUGACGUUAUGACGUCACGGGGCGGCCCUAUCUCACUUCCGGGCACCGGUGCAGGGAUUCACAACGAAAAUGAUUGGUAAGUGCACUCAUACUUUAUGUAUAUAUUGAUAUGAUUUUGUUUGUUACAGUAACCUUGAAAAAGACCCACAGAGGUCGAAACGUUGGUUUUUGGUUUGCACCUUGAAUAAAUAAAACUACAUUUUUUUCACCAAGUCCUGUGAGUGCAUCCUAUAUUUUCAAUUUGAUGAUAUAUAUAUAUAUAUAUAGUACACAAAACAAAGCAGGCUGCACUCACGGACUUCUGAAUAUCAAAUGUGGUUUAUUCCAUCCAAGAAACAAAAACGAUAUAUAUAUAUAAUAUAAUUUUACGUGUGUUUUGAUAAUAUGAUAUCUAUAUAUAUAUAUAUAUAUAUAUAUAUAUAUAUAUAUAUAUAUAUAUAUAUAUAUAUAUAUAUAUAUAUAUAUAUAUAUAUAUAUAUAUAUAUAUAUAUAUAUAUAUAUAUACACACACACAUAUAUAAGAGAUGCACUCUCAGGUCUUUGUAGAAAAAAAAACUCGAUAUUAUUUAAUAACCAGUAACCUACAUCUGAUCGACGUUUCGACCUCUUCAGGUCUUCCUCAAGAUAAUUUGUGUUAGGUGCUCAUGAUAGUACAGAGUAAAAUACCAUAAUUAAAUGUAGGAUAGUAAAAAGGGCAAGCAAGUCGGUUGUGGUGUGCCGGAACAGACGAUGAGGUAGGCCUGAGAAAGAAGAGGGGCCUACCCAGGAAAAAGAAAUAGAAAGGAAAUAAAUGUUGAAAUGUGGUGUGGUGGGAGGGUAAUUCAACGCUGACCUCGAACGGUAAGGAGCAAGGUAAGGGGUGUGCCUUAAGUAGGCUAGGAGUGGAUACCAAGCACCUCCCACAAAUCCAGGCAAAUUUCCUUAAUACUUGUGUUAGGUGCUCAUGAUAGUACAGAGUAAAAUACCAUAAUUAAAUGUAGGAUAGUAAAAAGGGCAAGUCGGUUGUGGUGUGCCGGAACCAACGAUGAGGUAGGCCUGAGAAAGAAGAGGACAAAAAUUAAUUAAGUAAUCAAAUUUAUUACAGACAACCAAUACAGAUACAUAUAUCAACCAGAUAUGUUUUUGAAAGCAUCCCUUAAUUCUUGUACUGGGUUCGGUAUGUAUCGUGAGUAAGCGGAUGACUUCCAGCGCCCCAGUGUUUUUAUAACAUGAACUGGAAUGUUGACACUGGAGGCUGUGGAUGCUGCUCCUAUGCGGAAGGAGUACCCUGAGUAGUUAGCUGCUUUGAGGCCAGUUGAGUGAGCAAAGACCUGACGUAGGUCAUGAAGGUUGUAGUGGUGAGUACCGAACUUUGUAAUAGUAGUAAUGGUUGUGAUGGUAUUGAAAUAUGAUGCUGUAGGUAUGCAUCCAGAACCUUGAUGGGGCACCACUUGUUGUGCGUGGGGUAGUAUGGAAUGUUUACUGGUAUGUGCUGGCUGGUUUUGGAGUGAGGUAGCGUCAGGAUGUAAUGAUGUUUUGUUAAGUGGGAAUAGAGGAGAAUAGGAGCAUGUGACGAGAGCAACCUCGCCACAUUGCAUUGGAGAAGCCUGGUUGCUCGCCUGCUGCCUUUGGAUUAUGGCCCCAUGUUAAAAGACUUUGUUUCCCCUGCAGAAAAGACUUAUUCGUGCUUUUCUGCCCGGUGUUCGGUAGAUUUAAUCUACCGAACAACCGCACGAAUGACUAGACCACCUGGGAGCUGGAGUGUGCCGGCAAUUAGCCUCCCAGAAGCUGCGGUUAACUGCAGCUUAAUUGACGAAUACUGGGUGGCCGCCAUUCGUAUACCGAACACGAGGUUGCGGCCAUUUUAAACACGCGAACGCCCAGCGGUAUUCGACACCUAACUCAUGGAAUUAAAAACGGACACAGUUUGGCACGAACACCGCUGAAGCCGCCGACCUCCCUUCUUGUUCGGUGGACGUACACGAACGGCCCUGUAUUUGGUAGUUGUACCUGACUACACCAUACCCCAGAUAGGAAUCCCAGUGAGCUCAUUCGUAUGAGAACUGACUUUGUGAACACUUUGGCUCCAUGGCGAUUGAACUGUAUUCGUGUAGUCUGAGCGCCAUUCACUUAAUAAUGUGCGCUCAGACCUGAGCUAUCUGGGGACAUGUUAAAUGUAUGCCUUUACUGUAACCGUUCCAACAUAGUGUAUUUUAAUAGUAAUUCCUGUAUUGGUAUCCCCACGUGCAUAAUGGCGAUUUGCCUUUGUCCUGGGAGAUAAUUGAAUUACUUCUCAAUUAUCUCCAGGGCAGAGGGGAGGAAGCCAGGAUGCAUUGUGGGAAUAUAAUUUGACUGUGUCCUAUUUUGCUGAUUGUCUGUCUUUUGUCACAGUCUCCCAUUUGGUCCCCUAGGGGAGUGUCCACCAGGUGGGAGACCUGCAUAAAUUCUGGGCAGGUAGCCCUCAUUAAACAGACCACUGCUUGACCCUCAACACGGAGCCUUGUCUCGUCUUUGGGGGAUUUACUGAAUGCUGAUAGAGACUGAUUGCUAGGAGUGUAAGCCGCUUGGAUGCUUUUCCUAUUCGUCUGCUAGCAGCUAUUCGUAUGGUUCCAGUUCGUGAGUUUGGAGUGCUAUAUUGUAUACAGUUCGGGAGAUUGGAGCAUUCCCUUAUUUGCGGUUCGGGAGUUUGGUGUUCUACAGUAGCUGUGCCUGCAUCUCUGAAAGGGGACGAUCGCCCCUUGUGUGCUGAAACGGUCCGUUACAGAGCAGAUUGUGUUAUGUUGGUUGUAGUAAACUCUCUAGGUCUUAGGAAUCCAUAGAAAGCUAUGUAUAUUGCUGCUUUGAAGACAGAAUUUGUAUUGGUGUCAAAAGGUUUUAAAUCAAGCAGGUUAGAUAAUGCCUUGAAGAUAUGGUUAUCUAUGGGUAGCCUCUGUGAUGUACAUGUGGGUUCAGAUUUCUGAAUGCCUCUGAGUAUGGCCUUGAUCUGGUGAGAGGCCAUGAAACUAGUAUUGUUAGGUUGUAAGAUUAGCAUAUGGUGUUGAAUGCCUGUGAGAUAAAGUUUGAUGGUGUUAUAUGACAUUUUAAGUUUAAGGUGGCAAAAAUAAGCAAAACCCAAAAUAGAUGGCAUAACAAAUGGUUGCAUGAUGUUAUGUUCCAAAAGGAAUCUUUUGAAUAGUGUAAAAGCCCUGUCGUAUGUUUUGUGUGUAUUCUUUGACAGUGCCAAUUGAGACAGUGUCCUGCUAUGAUGCAUGAUGAUGUCUAGUCCAGUAUUAGUUGUUGAAAUGUUGGAGUAGUAGUGGCUGUGAGCGCAGCUGACGGGAGUGCUUGAUGAAAUGCCUGAAAUUUAAAACGAGAUAAACUGUCAGCAGCUGUGUUACAUAUUCCUGGAACAUGGAAACAAUAUAGAAAGAAAUUAUGACAAGCUGCCAACCACGUGAGUUUCCUCAGAAAUCUCAUGAUCGUAAGGAAUUUGGAGUGACCUUUGUUGAUGAUGGGACAGGUUGCCUGGUUGUCUGAGUAACAGCGAACUGGCAUAUUUGCCCAUAAAUGACCCCAUGCUACGGCAGCUGCCACAAUGGGAUAGAUCUCAAAGAGAGCUGAGGUAGUGGAAAAACCUUCCAAAUCCUGAACGGCUGUAGGUCAGCUGCCCCAAAGCCAUUCGUUCCCAAAAAUUGCUGCAAAACAUGUGGUAGAUGUUGCAUCUGACCAAAUAGUAGGUGAUGAGUCAGUCAAUUGAGGGAGGAACAUAAUUUUACCAUUCCAAGUGGUUAAAAAUUCCUUCCACGUGCGUAGGUCUGCCGUAGCUUGGUUAUCUAAGGACAACCUCUGUGUGUCAUGUAGGAAGCGUGGAAAAAGGUACAAGAGUCGUGAUAUGAAGGAGCGGCCUUGAGGUAUGAUACGCAUGGCAAAAUUUAGUGACCCCAGCAGGAACUGUAGCUCUUUGCGGUUGCAAGUACCGAGCUGAAGGUAGCGGUUGAUGUAAGUAAGAAUGUUCUCUAUCUUGUCGUGUGGUAGGCUUGCUUGCAUUGUGGUUGAGUCUAAUUGAAUACCCAGGAAAGUGAUAAUCUUGUCUGGCCCCUCUGUUUUCUUAGCGGAGAUUGGUACACCUAUUUGCUCGAAUAGCUUGGUGGUAGCUUUGAGGCUACUAGGAGGGGAAGUAUUUUCCUCGACCAGUAAGAAGUCGUCCAGGUAAUAUUAUACCGUAGGGCAUCUGGCUAUGUUCAAUAGUAACCAGCACAAUGCUUCGGCAAAUGUGUCGAAAAUAGCUGGGCUACUUUUGGACCCAAAAGUUAAACAGGAGAAAAAAUAGUAGUUCCUGGCCCACUUGAUUCCAUGCAGGUGCCACAGUGUGGGGUGGAUUGGUAGAAAUUUAAAGGCAUUAGUAAUAUCGGUCUUACUAAGCCAGGCUCCGACCCCUGCUUGUAUGAUCGCUGUAAUGGCGUGAUCUAUGGUGGUGUAUUGCAGGGAGAAUUCCUCGGAGGGUAUGAGGGAAUUAAGACUGUGGCCCGAUGAGUGUGGUGCAGACAAGUCAAUGAUGAGUCUCUGUUUAAGGGAAGAUUUCCCUGUGACAAUACCAAUGGGUAUUAUGGCGUACCAAUGGAGCUUUGAAAGGCCCCAAUACGAAACCCUCAGCAACUUCUUGGGCUAUGAGAGUGUCAACAGCUGUGGGAUUAUGUUGGCGGAAUGUAUAUUAAUGGACGUGAGGUAAGGCUUAGAAUACAUUUUAUUUGGACACAUGGUUUUUGCAUGUGCCCUAAAACAUUUUAAACAGAUAUGCAAUAAUCUGCAACCGCUAUAAUUACAAGACCCAACAUUGAAAUUAUUACAUAUCUGGGACUUGCCCAGGAACUUGAUCGGGCAUCCCAGUUUGUCUCUGUUCACUUUCUCUGGAACACCAGAGGAACUAGCUCCUUGCAUGGAGGCAUGUUCGUCAGCCGUGUUGGGACAGAAAUUUGUCGUAUGGGCUGUAGAGGAGCAGUAUGCACAAGCCGGUGUUCUUAGACCUGCAAAGUGACUCCAAAAUAUGGCGGUAUCUAUCCUUCCCCAGUUGGAUCUUGUUCCAUACUGGGAGAACGCUCCAGACACUUUUGCAGAAAAAGUCCUAUGGUAGUCAUAAAAGGUUGAACCACCAUAUUUGUUGCCCAGGUCUACCAGCUUGUGCAUAUAAACAUCAAACUCCUCUCUUCUAUUGGGAUAGACCGCACAUAUGACAUCCCGGUAAAUACCAAAGGCCAGUACAAACUCGGGGAUAGUCAGUUUCCUGUUUAGGCGGGCGUCCCUAGAUCUGACAACAACAGACACAUCAUCAUAAGCAUAAGUCUUAUUCUCCACAAUAUCCUGGGAGGCAAUCAGCAGGGAAGCUAGGUUGACGUCUUUACCUUCCAGGAUAUCUCUUUUUAUGUGCUCAGGGAUCAUAUGAGCAGGGCUAACUUCCUGGUCAUCCGAGGUGAUGGAACCAAUAGCAAGUCGGCUGGUGCUUGUGAAGCAGCAGCGGGUGGCCCUGCUAGAGUAAGGGCCGUGGUGUCCGACUCAAGUUUCUCCAACCUGGAGUUGACCUUGCUCAUGAGUGAAGAUAACAUAGAAUGUAUGUCUCCUGGGUUGGACUGGCUAGGUCCUUCACCGGGAUCCAUGUUGUUAUUUGAGGUACGUAGCAGUUUGAAAAGUUCUGCUUUCCUUGCUGUAGCGGGGUAGGGGAUUUGCCCUCUCCUUAGUUCGGUAGUUAUACGAGGGACCGUCCAGGAUCUGAUCGAUGCUGGACUAUUUACCUCUCCUCCUUGUGUAGGAGUGAUAGCUCUAGCCGGAGUGCUAGGCAGGGAGAAAUCCUCUACCCCUUCCUGAGACAUACUAUAACCAAAACAAUUAAUUAGUGUAUGAAAAACACCAAAAUCGUACUGGCAGGCUAGCUAAGCCAGAUGGCGAAACAUUACACUUGUUUGGUGACAGGUGAGGCCCUACUAGUUGCCAAGUGGCUUGAGAGGCUCUAUCUAUGCGUUGACGCGAGGGGAUUUGAGGCCACCCUUCGGAGUGGCAGGAAUUUUAGGCCUCUCGGUGACUGUAACAUAGAAAACAGGGAAAGGGAGUGACAGGUGAGGCCCUCUCUAUGCAACAUGCGAGGCGGAUAGCUAACGUGUGGCCCGAUGGGUUUUUGCCUCUGAAACGUUGAGGGGGGGUGUUGGCCUCGCGGGACCACUAACUGAUGGCAAUGCCAAGAGGGGGUAAAUACCUAUUGGGAAGCCUAUGGUACUCAGGGGCCAGUACUCUAACCUAAGGAGGAGAAAUGAAAUGUAUGGCAGAGUACCAUAUGAGCAGGUGUACGUACCUGGUAGUAUGAAUAUCUCACAGGAAACCAUGUGGUGAAAAUAUCUAUUUAAACCUGGACACAGGGCCGUCUUUAACACAGGGCAAACGGGGCAGCUGCCCUGGGCCCAGUUACUCCUGGGGGGCCCAAAGCAGCUGCCCUGUGGGCCCACAACAAUUUGGAGGGGCCUAUCAGGUGGCCCAUGCAUUUAGGGCCACCGAUGGGUGUCUCUGAACAGGCACCCGGUGGGGUGCCAUGGCCCUUUAAGAGCAGACCGGGCCCCUGUAGUAUUAGCUGGAUGGGAGGAAGUGACAGCCGAUCACUUCCUCCCAGCUUCAGAAGAGAGGACCGCGGGAGGAAGGAGGCCGCAGCAGGUAGCAGCAUGGGGGGUGGGGGGGGGAGAGGCAAGAAUGAGCUUCUGCUCAUUCCCACUCCUAUCAGCCUCAGCCAGCUCUAAGCUGAGUUGAAGGUAAGUGUAUCCAGUCCCUGAUCCUUUUCUUCUGGGUGAAUGGCUGCAGCUAGGAUAGUUUUUAGAAAAACCACCCCACUCAAUGCCCCUGCCCUGCUUUCCCCCACUUACUGCUUAUUUUCUCUGUGCCCCCACUUACUGCUUAUCUUCUCUGUGCCCCCACUUAAUGCCCCUGCCCUGCCUUCCCCACUCACUUCUUCACUUUUCUGUGCCCUCACUCUCUGGCCCUGCCCUGCCUUCCCCACUUACUUCUUCUCUUCUCUGUGCCCCCACUCUCUGCCCCUGCCCUGCCUUCCCCCACUCACUGCUCCUGCCUCCCCCCCUCACUGCUUUUUUUACCCUGUGCCCCCACUCACUGCCUUUCUACUAUGUGCCCCUACUCACUGCUUUUUUUCUGUUUAGAUUAGUUUAAUUAUUGCUGCAGUUGCAUUUAAGCACAGGUGAUGAGAGGAUGAGAAACAUAAUUGGCGUGUAUUUUUUUUGUAUUUUAUAUUUAAAUUCUUUGUUUGUUGUGCAUUACAUAUAACAGUACCAGCUUGCCUUGCCACAGGAGCAUCAGCAUUUACAAGCUUUGUGCCUCCUCCAACUCUCUGCUCCUGCCCUGCUGCAAACAUAAAAAUUAUCACAUGUAUGUCAGAGUGUGUGUAUCUGUGUGUAUGUGUGUGUAACUGUGUCGGUGUGUAUCUGAGUGUUUAUGUGCCAGUGUGCAUAUCAGAAUUUGUGUGCAUGUGCCAGUGUGUGUAUCUGUGUGUCAAGGUAUGUGCAUGGGUCAGUAUGUUUAUAUGUGUGUUGAUGUGUAUGUAACUGUGUAUGUGUAUACAUCCCAGCAAUCAAAAACAACAGGCAAACACAUCCCUGAUAACACAAACAUUACAGACAAACACACCCCUGAUUUCAAACUCAAAAUUAUAUAUAAAACACACCCUUUACCCAAACACCAAUACUAUACACAAAUGUUUAGAAGACAACUAGAGAUGUCGCGAACCGUCCGCGAACUUCUCGCGAGCGGGUUCGUGGCGAACUCUGGUCAGCUGACACAGCACGAGCUACAUACUUAUUCUGAGCUUGUUUGCUUGCACAGGGACAGUGAAUACUAUACACUGCCAUAUGUAACCAUAAGUUUCUUUUUGGUAAUCCACUGUUACAUUUAUAUUAGAUGCAGGUAUCCCUGUGCUAUCUAAAUAUAGCUUUGUGAUUCAAUCAUCAUUGUAUGCAGCUUAUUUGUACCUUUGGGACACAACUCACCUUGUAUACUUUGAUUUGUAUACAACUUUAUUGUAAAAACCGUAUGGUUUUUGCACAUUGCUAGGAGAAGGAUCCUGAAAACUUUUGAACAGGACCUCUUCAUCUUUAUCUAUAUCUUGAUUAUAGUUACAUUUAGUGUGAGUUUGUUCUCCCAUUAGGAUUGGAAAACAGAAGCUGGAACGAAUAGUUUAAACAUAUGAAUUUUAUGCGAACCGCAAGCGUGUUUGAGCGUAUCAUGAAAAAGUGCCGAACGGCAAAACAACCGAAAUGAUAACCUGUUUCACUGUAACAUGGAAUAGUAAUAUGCGAAAUGACUACUUAUACGAAUAUACUGGUUAGCCGAAUGACCGUACUAAUGAAAACCGCGAGCGGCUUGUAUAAUUUGUGACAUAACAGGGAAAAACCGUAAAGCAAGGACCCGUGCUGUACCGUACGCCGUGGGAACCGAUCCUGGCGUGACAGGUAGGUCUAACUUACGGUUUAGGAGUCCCUGGGACGCGAUCUACGACGAUGACCAGGGUCAAAAGAAACUGGACGGACGGAAAAGGCCUGAACAGGAUUCCUGGACACAGCUUGACGCGGAAAAACCUCGUGGAUACUGAAAAACCAAGAUGGCGUCUGAGAGAACCCGGAAGUGGAUCCUCACUUAACGCUGACCUCGAACGGUAAGGAGCAAGGUAAGGGGUGUGCCUUAAGUAGGCUAGGAGUGGAUACCAAGCACCUCCCACAAAUACAGGCAAAUUGCCUUAAUACAUAUACACAUACACAUAUAUAUAUAUAUGUAUAUAUAUAUACAUACGUAUGUAUAUAUAUUUUAAUUCUACGUCUAUAUUUAUGUAAUAUUUUUAAAGAAUUAGGUAAUUGUAUUAAUUACAAUUUGCGGGACCUGCCUGAUAACCCCGGGAGAAAGUCCAGAGAAUUUAAUUUGCUAGCACUAUAUUUAACCCUGUAACUUUCUAAGACACCAUAAAACCUGUACAUGGGGGGUACUGUUGUACUCGGGAGACUUCACUGAACACCAAUAUUAGUGUUACAAAACAGUAAAAUGUAUUACAAGGAUGAUAUCAUCAGCAAAAGUCAAAUUUUUUACAUUUUUCACACACAAACGGCACUUACACUAGCGAUAUAAUUGUUGUGAUACGUUUUACGGUUUUGAAACACUAAUAUUUGUAUUCGUCGAAGUCUCUUGAGUAUAACAGUACCCCUCAUGUACAGGUUUUAUGGUGUCUUCAAAAGUUAAACGGUCAAAUGUAAGGCUUGUGUUUCCGUUUUUUCACAUUUAAACUAGCCAAAUUUGUUGUGUUGCCUUUGAGACCGUAUGGUAGCCCAGGAAUGGAAUUACCCCCGUGAUGGCACUGGGUACGUCCAGUCUUUUUUAGUAGCCACUUAGUCACAAACACUGGCCAAAAUUGGUGUUCAAAUUAUUUUUUUGCAUUUUUCACACACAAACAAAUAUUAAUGCGAACUUUGGCCAGUGUUUGUUACUAAGUGGCUACUAAAAAAGACUGGACGUACAUUUGCAAUACCUUGGGUUGUCUAGUAUUGCAAAUUGUAUGCCAUCAUGGGGGUAAUUCUCAUUUCUGGGCUACAAUACAGUCUCAAAGGCAACAUAACCAAUCUGGUGAAUUUCAAUGUGAAAAAAAAUGAAAAAUGUCACAUGCUAUAUUUGACCCUAUAACUUCCCAAAACAUAAAACCUGUACAUAGGGGGUACUGUUUUACACGUGAGACAUCGCUAAAUACAAAUAUAUGUAUUUUAUUGCAGUAAAAGCAAACAGUCUUAUGACAUUCACAUUUAAAAUGUCAUGCAGAACUAAAAAAAUAAAAAUUUUAAAUUUCUCACAUUUUUUUAUAUUUUAUUCAUAUUAAAUUAUGUUUCAAGCUAAAUAUGUUAAAUGAAAGCCCUAUUUUUCCUGAAUAAAAUGAUAUAUAAUAGGUGUGGGUGCACUUAAUAUGAAAGAGGUGUAUUACGGUUAAACAGACAUAUAUUCAAAUUCCAAGUUUUGUUUACGUUUUACUUUGAUCAAAACGUGUACAUUUAGCUCAGUCCUUAAGGGGUUAACUGUGAAUGUCAUAAUACUGCUAGCUGUUACUGCAAUAAUGUACACAUAUUUGUAUUCAGCAAUGUCUCACGAGUAAAACAGUACCCCCAAUGUACAGUUUUUAUGGUGCUUUGAAGGGAUGGUUUCCCAAGUGCGCAGCCCCUGAUGACCUGUUCCUAGACAAAGCAGCCCUAAGAUCAUGGGAAUUUGACAUCUGACUACAUAAAUCAAUCAUCAAUCAAAAGAAUCAACAGAAGCUUUUUCCAUGAUUGAUUAUUCCAAUACCAGCUCUCACAGUUCCAAAUGGGACUCUGUCUUCAAAUACUUCAGCAAACCUGCAUAGUCGAACAACUGAAGGGGUGAGAUCAAACCAUAUUUUUUUUAAGUAGUUUUUUACUGAGUGCUCAGCUGGUUGAAAAUAUAUAUUUUCAUUUUUUUCGCUUUUUUUUUUUUUAUUUCAUUUCUUUUUUUUUUUGCUCCUAUUUUUUUGGGUUAAUGAUUGUUGUAUGUUCAUGUGUAUAUAUGUAUAUAUGGAUGGCUUUUUUUGAUUAAUAUACACACUAUCACUAGUGGAUCUGAAUUAUUACUUUUGCUCAAUACUUAUUUAGCUCAUUGGUUUGUUGGUAUCAACCUGAAUGGUAUUAACCUGAAUAUCCAUUUGCUGGGCCUUAGCCAGGACACUUUAAUUUUUUUCUCUCCAGGAUUAGGAAUAAUAUACUGUAUUCCCACCUGAGAAAGUGUUUCUCCCAAGAUUAGCGUUUUGUUGUAUAUCUUAUAAAAGUGUUUACUUUCGGUAUAUGUAUUCUACAAUAUAUACAUUGCCCUAAAAAAUUAUUUUGUAUUCCUAUAUUUUGGGGGUAUUUUAGUUAGAGGUUCAGUCAUAGGAGGGGAACCCCAAUUCCAGCACCUUUCACAGCUGAGUGUCAUCGUAGAGUUAUGUUUUUUAUGGUGUUUUGGAAAGAUACAGAGUCAAUUAUAGCACAUUAAAUUUUUCAGUUUAUACCCAUUGAAAUUUGCCAGACUGGUUAUGUUUCAUUUGAGACCGUAUGGUAGCAGAGGAAUGAGAAUUACCCCCAUGAUAGCAUACCAUUAUGCAGUCCACCUUCCAGUAGAUGGCAGCAUAGGGGAGUUAUGCACUUGUUCUGUUGUGUUAGUGUCUCUUGUGUUAUGUCAUUAUGUGUGUGUACUGAAGUAAAGAAAAGUCCUAUUUUACUACAGUAACACUUUUCUUUUGGAAUUCUAUUAUCUACAAAUAUCUCUAGCAUGGCUUCUCUGGGACACAUGGAGUAAUUUGAUCUGGCUAAUCCAGCCUCAUGGGACUCAUAUGCUGACAGAUUAGUGUUUUUCCUGAAAGCUAAUAAGGUGGUUGAUGCUAUUCAGAAGAGAGCUGUGUUACUGAGUGUUAUUGGAUCCAAGACUUUGGAUACUGUCCGCUCACUGAUAUCACCUGCUAAACCACAAGACUACUCAUUUGAAGAAAUACUGGCACUGUUAAAAAAUCAUUUAGCACCUGUAACGGAACCGCUGGCACCCCGACCGGGUACCUUCCGCCGACGGAUGCUCCUAGUGCUUUCCGAGGACUCCAAGCACUCUGCCUGACACCAUAACCACUGCAUACCCCACGAACCGCCGCAGCUUGGUUGGGGUCUCGCCGUCUCCACCCACUCUGGACCCAGGACCAGGGUCCAGCUUCCAGCAGGUCGACCUCUCUCCGAAUUCCAGAGAGCAGGAACAGGAACAAGCUCUUAGCAGAGCUUAGUGAUUAUACCCUGGGGAGUAUAGUGAUUAUAGCAAUCCCCAGAGUGUAGUUUCUCCAAUCCCCCAAACAUGAGCCGAAACUUCAUGAAGGUACAAGAUGAUCUGACUCCAAUGAGCGUUUAUUACUCCUUAUAUACAAGUUUUCAGGUCAGAGGCACACCCCCUGGACCUGGUGGUAAACUGUGACAAAAGGGACACAAACCAAUGGGAACACUAAUUAACAUGAUAACACUCUCACAUACACAAUGAAAUCCCUCCUCUCCAUCCUGGAGAUAAUUGGCUUAAGGCACUGCAGUAAACUCAAUUAUCUCCAGGUACAGAAAAUAUCUACAUUUAACACUAACAGCAAAAUACGUAAAAGUACAUAAAAAUACAUAAUUCUUAUUUUAUUACACAGAACCCCCACAUUUAACCUAUCCCCAGAUAGCUCGGAUCUGAGCGCCCAAUCUAGGUGAACAGCGCUCAGAUCCCAUGAACAGAGUAGAUUUUCCAUGGGGUAAAGCAUAGCAAGGGCUGUUGAGAAACCAAGGAGGGACAAAAGCAGUCAGUUCCAACUGGUUUGGCAGUGUGCCUGGGACAACACCCUGCUGGAGAACAAUAGACAGGAAACGGGGGAGGGGAAGAAACACACCUUCCCAUGGAUUCAAAUGGGAAGAAACUGUCUUUAGAAGCCAAUAAGCCCCAAAUAGUCUUUUUAAAUGGCAAUACACCCCAGGGCCAUAGUCAUGAGGAAGGAGGCUGGCAAUCAGGCUCCUCCAAAAGCCAGGGCCAAAGGGCAGCUUGUCACCUAACAAUCCAGGGACAAAAGGCAUUUCGUCACACAUCUCCCCUUUGGGGGGGAGACUAACCAGGUACCUGACCUGUCGGUCAGUGCCUGAGUUAGUCGAUAAACCCACCCACAGUGAACAAGUACAUGAGUAGCCCACCCACAAAUAACAAGUGGCAAAGUAGCCCCCCCACAAUAAACAGUACUGGCCGGUAGGUUCCAGGUUGUAGGAUAAAAAUGCAGCAUCCUCGGCCUUCCUGGUGCAGCUGGGCAAAUAGCUGGUGGCACUUGGGGGGCAAAGGCCAGCGGUACUCUGCCCUGAUGUCAGCUCUUGCGCUGGGAUAGCCGGCAGAAUGUCAAGCUCUGUACAAGGGUCAAAGGGAGGGCAGAGGCCAACUGCACUCUGCCCAGCUGCCAGCUCUUCCGCUGGUAUAGGCUGCAGGACAUCAGGCUCUGGACAAGGGACACAGGGAGGGCAGAGGCCGACUGCACUCUGCCCAGCUGUCAGCUCUUCUGCUGGGGUGCUGGGAACAUAGUCCGGCUCAGUAGCCAGGGGAACAUGGGAGUCAGUGGGGGUUAACAUCUCCUCUGUUAACCCUGGGGCCAAGUUAGGAGUUAGCUGGGGAGGGGAAUUCGUACUUACCCCCUCCUCCUGUUGUCCCUGUGAGGGUAGUUGGGGAUCUGGACAGGCUGUCCAGCAUCCCUGUAGGUCGGGCACGGAGACCACGGUCCCCUCUGCGCCAUCUGGGAGAAUGGUGUCUCCCCUUGGUAGGGUAAGCUGCCGCUGGGGAGAUAGGGUGCUGUGCUCCUCUCCCUGAAACACAGUCUGCCGCUGGAGAGGGAGACCGCCUGUCUCCACUCCCAUAACAUUAUCCUGCUGCUGGAGAGAGAGACCAACUGUCUCUGCUCCCGGUAGGACACACUGCUGCUGGGGGGGAAGGAUGACACCUUCGGCCCCCUGGAAUUCACACUGCCGCUGGGGAGGAAGGGCGACACCUUCGACUCCCUGUAAUUCACACUGCUGCUGGGGAGGAAGGACGACACCUUCGGCUCCCUGUAACUUGCACUGCCGCUGGGGAGAGAGACCGGUUGUCUCUUCUCCCUUGUCAACACACUGCCGCUGGGGAGUCAGACCGACUGUCUCGACUCCCAGUGAUGAUGGUUGCUGCAGGGACGAGGGACCGACAAUCUCCUCUCCCUGGGAUGCUGUCUGCCGCUGGGGAGAGAGACCGGUUGUCUCCUCUCCCUUGACAACCCACUGCCGCUGGGGAGUCAGAGCGACUGUCUCAACUCCCAGUGAUGAUGGUUGCUGCAGGGACGAGGGACCGACAAUCUCCUCUCCCUGGGAUGCUGUCUGCCGCUGGGGAGAGAGACCGGUUGUCUCCUCUCCCUUGACAACCCACUGCCGCUGGGGAGUCAGAGCGACUGUCUCAACUCCCAGUGAUGAUGGUUGUUGCAGGGACGAGGGACCGACAAUCUCCUCGCCCUGGGAUGCUGUCUGCCGCUGGGGAGAGAGAUCAAUUGGCCACAGCCCCAAUCUCCGCAAUCGGAGCUCAAAUUCCCAUGCCGCUCGAUUCUCCUCAUCCAACUUGCGCAUGGUUGCCAGAAUCGCCUCUGUCGAAAGAUUCGGGCCAUAUCUGGUUAACCGCCUCUUGACCUCCUCCCUGUAAGCGUCGCCCUCAAAGCGAUAGGUCAUGUUUGCUGUGAACAGGGGCGCUGUACGAAUACUAGCGUUGCCCUCAAAUUGUAAUUCCAAAUGUUACCGGUGCCUCUGCGCUGCUUCUCCUCGCACUAGGACGCCAUCCCACCGCUGCCACCACUGUAACGGAACCGCUGGCACCCCGACCGGGUACCUUCCGCCGACGGAUGCUCCUAGUGCUUUCCGAGGACUCCAAGCACUCUGCCUGACACCAUAACCACUGCAUACCCCACGAACCGCCGCAGCUUGGUUGGGGUCUCGCCGUCUCCACCCACUCUGGACCCAGGACCAGGGUCCAGCUUCCAGCAGGUCGACCUCUCUCCGAAUUCCAGAGAGCAGGAACAGGAACAAGCUCUUAGCAGAGCUUAGUGAUUAUACCCUGGGGAGUAUAGUGAUUAUAGCAAUCCCCAGAGUGUAGUUUCUCCAAUCCCCCAAACAUGAGCCGAAACUUCAUGAAGGUACAAGAUGAUCUGACUCCAGUGAGCGUUUAUUACUCCUUAUAUACAAGUUUUCAGGUCAGAGGCACACCCUACUGGACCUGGUGGUAAACUGUGACAAAAGGGACACAAACCAAUGGGAACACUAAUUAACAUGAUAACACUCUCACAUACACAAUGAAAUCCCUCCUCUCCAUCCUGGAGAUAAUUGGCUUAAGGCACUGCAGUAAACUCAAUUAUCUCCAGGUACAGAAAAUAUCUACAUUUAACACUAACAGCAAAAAUACGUAAAAGUACAUAAAAAUACAUAAUUCUUAUUUUAUUACACAGAACCCCCACAUUUAACCUAUCCCCAGAUAGCUCGGAUCUGAGCGCCCAAUCUAGGUGAACAGCGCUCAGAUCCCAUGAACAGAGUAGAUUUUCCAUGGGGUAAAGCAUAGCAAGGGCUGUUGAGAAACCAAGGAGGGACAAAAGCAGUCAGUUCCAACUGGUUUGGCAGUGUGCCUGGGACAACACCCUGCUGUAGAACAAUAGACAGGAAACGGGGGAGGGGAAGAAACACACCUUCCCAUGGAUUCAAAUGGGAAGAAACUGUCUUUAGAAGCCAAUAAGCCCCAAAUAGUCUUUUUAAAUGGCAAUACACCCCAGGGCCAUAGUCAUGAGGAAGGAGGCUGGCAAUCAGGCUCCUCCAAAAGCCAGGGCCAAAGGGCAGCUUGUGACCUAACAAUCCAGGGACAAAAGGCAUUUCAUCACAGCACCCACCCCAUCUGAAACAGUGAGGCGUUUUAAUUGACUAAAUUAGAAACCAGGUGAAAGCAUUGCAGCAUAUAUUGCAGAACUGUGCAGGCUGUCUGAAAAUUACAAUUUUGGUGCCAGUUUAGAAUCCUUGUUAAGGGACAGGCUUGUGUGUGGGGUGCAAGAUGAAGCACUGCAGAGGAGACUGCUUGCAAGACAGAAUUUAACUUUUAUUAUUGUACAAGAGGAAGCGCUCGCAAAUGAGGCUGCAUAUGUCCAUUCAAAAGAGAUACACUCCUCCUCCAACAAAGAGAACUCACCUGAAAUAAAUGUAGUGAAGAAGACUGAUGUUAAAUCAAAGGACUUUUCAACACGCACUGAUGUCACAGCUCCAUUUAAAGGAACUUGUUAUAGUUGUGGUGGAAAACACAGGCGUAAUACAUGUCGUUUUCGAAAUGCAGUUUGCAACACAUGUAGACUUACAGGUCACAUACAGACAGUUUGCCAAAGAUAAGCCAGUGGAAUUCAAACCCAAUAAAAGAAUGCGAAUACAAUACAAACCUCAGCGCACUCUGUUAAUACUCCAAAUACCAUUUCAGAUAGUGAAAUGACUACAGGUUUUUACUCAAAUGACUAUAUGAAUAAAGUGGAAAAUUUGCCAUCAGGACUGAAGGUUUACACUGAAAUUAUGCUGCAAGGUGUUCCGUGCAAAAUGGAAGUGCGCAUAUUUUUUGAUUUCAGAAAAUACAUUUAUGGGUUUGCAGAUGACACAAAACUUUGUAAAAUAAUACAGUGUGAGCAAGAUAUUACUUUGCUGCAGAGGGAUUUAGAUAGACUGGGCACUCAAAUUGCAGAUGAAAUUUAAUGUUGAAAAAUGCAAAGUUAUCCACUUCGGCGUAAAAAAUAAACACGAGCAACGUAUACCCUUAAAGGAAGUGAAUUAGGGAUAACAACACACGAAAAGGACUUGGGAAUUGUUAUAGACAACAAACUAUGCAACAAUGUGCAAUGUCAAUCAGCAGUGGCCAAGGCCAGUAAGGUAUUGUCAUGCAUGAAAAAGGGCAUUCAUUCUCAGGACGAGAAUAUCAUUUUGCCUCUUUAUAAAUCACUGGUAAGACCCCAUAUUGAAUAUGCUGUGCAAUUAUGGGCACCUGUUCUAAAGAAGGAUAUUAUGGCAGUAGAAAAAGUGCAGAGGCAGGCUACAAAAUUAAUAAAAGGAAUGGAACAUAUCAGCUAUGAAGAAAGGUUAACAAAUUUAAACCUAUUUAGUUUAGAAAAAAGUUGACUGAGAGGGGAUAUGAUAACAUUAUACAAAUAUCUUUGGGGCCAAUACAAACCAUUGUGUGGAAAUCUAUUCACAAACCGGACUUUACAUAGGACACGAGGCCAUGCGUUCAGACUGGAAGAAAGAAGAUUUCGUCUAAGGCAAAGGAAAGGUUUUUUUUACUGUAAGAACAAUCAGGAUGUGGAAUUCUCUGCCUGAAGAAGUGGUUUUAUCAUAGUCCAUACAGAUGUUCAAACAGCUACUAGAUGAAUACUUGCAAAAACAGAAUAUUCAAGGAUAUAAUAUUUCAAUGUUGGGUAAUAACUGCUUGAUCCAAGGAUAAAUCUGACUGCCAUUCUGGGGUCAAGAAGGAAUUUUUUUCCUAGCUUGUUGCAAAAUUGUGCUUCAAACUGUUUUUUUUGCUUUCUUUUGGAUCAACAGCAAAAAACAAAUGUGAAGAAGGCUGAACUUGAUGGACGCAAGUCUCUUUUCAGCUAUGUAACUAUGUAACUAUGUAACAUUGUUAUGGCCUCAUAAUUCUCCUUCAAUAGUACCUUGUGAUAUUCAUCUGGUGGACUACAACAAACAGGCUGUGGAUGUUAAAGGGCUUGUUUUAUACCAGUAAAAUAUGGUAAAUUCAGAGGACACUUACGUUUAAUAAUUACUAAGGGACAAAGAGCAAGUUUGCUAGGUAGAGAGUGGUUUGAACCCUUAGGAAUUUCAUUAACUGGAGUUAAUAAUGUAUCCACAGAUAUUCCACAGAAUGUGAUUGAUAAAUUUAGUGCAGUUUUUGAAGAAGGUCUUGGCAUGUUUAAAGGCCCUCCUGUUUCUUUUAUAUUAGAUCCAACAGUACCCCCAAUUCAUAUGAAGCCUCGCAGAAUUGCAUUAGCUCUCAGACCAAAAAUAGAUUCUGAGAUUACACGUCUUGUGGAACAAGGUAUACUUGAACCCGUAACACACCCAAAGUGGUGUACACCCAUAGUUCCGGUGAUGAAACCAAAUGGUGAUGUCAGAAUCUGUGCUGACUACAAAUGUACACUCAACAAAGCAUUGCAAGAGCAUCCCUAUCAAAUUCCAGCUGUUAAUUAAAUUCUUACUACUUUGGCAAAAGGAAAAGUAUUUGCCAAAUUGGAUAUGGCUCAAGCCUACCAGCAAGUUACCUGUGGAUGAUGAGGCUGCUGAUGCACAAACAAUAAUAACACACAAAGGAGCUUUCCGAGCAAGACGUUUGCAGUUUGGAGUUUCCAUUGCUCCUGGCAUAUUCCAGAAUUUAAUGGAGGACCUCUUAUCUGGACUUCCAGGUGUAGUGACUUAUUUUGAUGAUGUUCUUAUUGGAGCAUAUUCUAUACAGUCACUGGCUGCACAGCUACAACUUGUUUUACAAUGUUUUCUUGAUGCUGGUCUAAAACCUAAAAAAGAGGUGUGUUUUUGGUGUAAACUGCAUGGAGUUCCUUGGAUACCGAGUUGACGCACAGGGCAUUCAUCCAACUGAUUCUAAGGUUGAAGCUAUUGAUAGAGCUCUGGUUCCAACAAACAAACAAGAACUACAAGCUUUCCAAGGGUUGCUUAAUUUCUUUCAUUCUUUCCUGCCUGAUAAAGUCACUGUUGCUGAACCUCUGCAUCGUCUACUAGACCAAGAUUCUCCAUGGAAGUGGACUGAUGUUCAUACUACCGCUUUCAGCGCUGCAAAAAAACUAUUGUCUUCCGACAGUGUACUUGUACACUAUGAUUUGGAAAAACUGCUCAACCUCACCUGUGAUGCUUCUCCAUAUGGCAAAGGGGCUGUAUUGAGCCACACUUUGAGAAAUGGGGUUGAGGCUCCUAUUGUGUUUUAUUCACAGACUUUAUCUACUAAGGAGAGGAAUUACGCCCAAAUUGACAAGGAGGCUUUAGCUAUUGUGUCCGGUGUAAAAAAGUUUCAUGACUAUUUGUAUGGGCGGAGGUUUACUAUUAUAACAGAUCAUAAACCUUUACUGGUGUGUUCACCAGAAAUACUCCCACUCCUCAAAUUAUUUCACCAUGCAUGCUCAGAUGGUCCCUUAUGCUGAAUGCUUAUGAUUAUGAGUUUAAGUAUCGUCCUGGCAAGGAUAUCACACAUGCUGAUGGCUUAAGCCGAUUACCUUUGCCUUCUCCUGACUUCCUUGUGUCUCCUAUGUCUGAGGUCCUCAUGUUGGAAUUCAUUCAAAACCCUCUGUUACAUGCAAGUGACAUUGCUUGUAUGUCUGCCAAGGAUCCUUUGCUGUCCCGUGUGCUAAACUGGGUUUGGAGGGGGUGGCCAAAAUCAAAAGUGGAAGACAAGUUCAAACCAUUUGUCGUGCGCCAACAUGAAUUAUCUGCCUAUAAAGGGUGCGUAUUAUGGGGAAACCGAGUGGUAAUUCCAAAUUCUGCUCUCCAUGAAGGACAUCCUGGAAUAGUUUGCAUGAAAGCUUUAGCUAGAAGUUAUAUUUGGUGGCCUAAAAUGGAUGAAGUUAUUGAAAAGUGGGUGAAGAACUGUGUACCAUGUCAAUCCACUUGUCAUGAUCCACCUGAAGCCUCAGUACAUCCAGGGCGGGCCUUAGGGGCACCGUGCGGCCGACACAGCUCCCACAUGGCCGGCCAGGAUAAAAAUAAAUAAAUUGCAGCGGGGCUGAGCUUCCCGUGCGGCGGGGGUGGAGCUUCCUGUGCGGCGGGGGCAGAGCUAAAUGUACCAGAUAACUGCUGCAGGGGAAGAAGGAGUCUCUGCUUCCCCAACAAACAGUCUCCAGGAGCUGCACUGCCUCCGCAAUGAACAGAGGUAACUAUGUGUGAUUGUCAGUGUGAGUGUGACUGUCUGCCUGUAUGUUUGUGUGACUGUCUGCCUGUGUGUGUGUGUGUGUGUCUGUGUGUGUGUGUGACUGUCUGUGUUAAGACACCCCUGGUGUCUUUAAACGAAACCGCCGUUUAGUUAGCCUUCCCCUUUCGCAAUACCAAUAACUCCGUUCGCAUAAACUGCAGUAUACGAACCACCAUCAGAGAAAGCGGUAAUCUCCCGACCGGGAUCCGUGAAAGGCUCCAAACUCCCGAACGGAAAUCCACGAACUGCUGCUAGCCACCGAACAACCAUAUCCACCAAGCGGCUUUCGGUUCCAAUAAGCAGUCUCUAAGCGCAAAUAAGAAAUCCCCCCAAUAACGAGACAGAAGCUCCGCAUUGAGGGUCAAACAGAAUCUGGCUUUACUGUGGGCUACCUGCCCGUAUUUAUGCAGGUCUCCCACUUGGUGGACACUCCCCUAGGGGACCAAAUGGGAGACUGGAAUUACAGAUAGACAUGGGGACAUUUCAGACAUACAGAUGUAACCUUUUUCCACAAUGUAAUAUGGUUUCCUCCCCUCUGCCCAGGAGAUAAUUGAUAAGUAAUUCAAUUAUCUCCAGGAUAAAGACAAAUCGCCAUCUUAAAUACAAUACCAGAAAAUACAUAAAAAUACCUAACUUUAAAAUAACCGAACAUUUCCCAUUCGCAUCACAUAUCCCCAGAUAGCCUGGAUCUGAGUGCAUAUUAUUGGCGAAUAGCGCUCAGAUCCCACACACAUAGUUCAAUCGCCAUGGAGUCAAAGUCCUUACAGUCUUUCGGUAUGCGAUUGACUCCAUGGGAAGGCUAUCUGGGUUAAGUCCUUUCGUGGUCCCGAACGGCCGGUGUUUGUACGCUUCCAUCAAGGCAGCCAGGCGACCCGUUGUUUCAGCGGUGUUCGGCAGAAAAAGUGUCCGUUUUUAGUUCCAUGGAAUCAGUGCCAAACACCGCUGGGCUUUCGUGUGUUUUAAAAUGGCCGCUGCCUCGUGAUCGACAUACGAACGACGGCCACCCUGAAUUCAGUUUAAUUGAGAAGUGUCUGCGGUUAACCACAACGUUCUAAUUGGGAUCAAGAGGUUAACCAACAGCACACUUCUUAUCCUGGGUGGCCAUCCGUUCGGUGAAUUUGUUCGGUGAAAACAGUCAUUCGUAUGGCUGGGCUAUAGAAACAGCUAUUUACACGAAAGGGGGGCAGAGAUAGACGAGUCCACCACAAUAGACAGACAGAUGGUUCUGUCACAGUCUGCCUGUGUGUUUGUGUGUCUGUCUGCCUGUGUUUGUGUGUGUGACUGCCUGCCUGUGUGUGUAUGACUGUCUGCCUGUGUGUGUGUGUGUCUGUGUGUGUGACUGUCUGCCUGUGUGUGUGUGUCUGUGACUGUCUGCCUGUGUGUGUGUCUGUGAGUGUGACUGUCUGCCUGUGUGUGUGUAUGACUGUCUGCCUGUGUGUGUAUCUGUGUGUGACUUUCUGCCUGUCUGUGUGUCUGUGUGUGUGUGUGACUGUCUGCCUGUGUCUGUGUGUGUAUGACUUUCUGCCUGUGUGUCUGUGUGUGAGACUGUCUGCCUGUGUGUGUGUCUAUGUCUGUGUGUAUAUGACUGUCUGCCUGUGUAUAUGUGUGUGUGACUGUCUGCCUGUGUGUGUGUGUGUGUGGGUAUGACUGUGUGUGUGUGUGUGUGUGUGUGUGUGUGUUUGUGUGGUCAUCUGCCUGUGUGUGUGACUGCCUGUCUGUGUGUGUGUGUGUGGAUGUCUUCCUGUGUGUGUGGCCACCUGCCUGUGUGUGUGUCUGUGACUGUCUGCCGUGUGUGUGUGUCUGUGAGUGACUGUCUUCCUGUGUGUGUGUGACUGUCUGUGUGUGUGUAUCUGUGUGUGACUUUCUGCCUGUGUGUCUGUGUGUGUGACUGUCUGCCUGUGUCUGUGUGUGUGUGGUGUCUGCCUGUGUGUGUAUGUGUGUGUGUGUGUGUAUGACUGUCUGCCUGUGUGUCUGUGUGUGUGACUGUCUGCCUGUGUGUGUUUCUAUGUAUGUGUGUGUAUGACUGUCUGCCUGUGUAUAUGUGUGUGUGACUGUCUGCCUGUGUGUGUGUGGGUAUGACUGUCUGUCUGUGUGUGUGUGUGUGUGUGUAUGACUGUCUGCCUGUGUAUGUUUGUGUGGCCAUAUGCCUGUGUGUGUUACUGCCUGUGUGUGUGUGUGUGUGUGUGGAUGUCUUCCUGUGUGUGUAUGGCCAUCUGCCUCUGUGUGUGUGUAUCUAUCUGCCUGUGUGUAUGUGUGUGGCCGUCUGUGUGGCUGCCUGUGUGUGUGGCUAACUGCCUGUGUGUGUGUGGCUGUCUGCAUGUGUGUGUGUGUGUGUAAGACUGUAUGUGUGGCUGUGUGUGUGUAUGUGUGUAAAACUGUGUGUGUGUGGCUGUCUGCCCGUGUGUGUGUGUUUGGCUGUCUGCCUGUAAUUGUGUGAAAGAGUGUUUAUCUACCUGUAACCGUGUAUGUGUGUUACUGCCUGUACCUGUGUGUUUCUGCCUGAUCCUGUGUAUGUGACUAUCUGCCUGCGACUAUGUGCAUGUGGUGAAUUUGACAGUGUAUAUGUAUAACUGUGUGCAUCUGACUGUGGGACUGUGUGCACAUAACUCUGCAAAAAUAUACACCUGCAUUCACACGUUUUAAUGAAUUAAAUAACCAUCACACACAUCCGAUAAACUCAGCACAAAUAUCACAUAUAACCAAUACACGCAUAUCACACACUGUUAAUACACCCAUUACAAAUAUUACACACAGCCAACACAUAGCAUACAUAUUACACACAGUCAUCACACGUAUCACAUACACAGACAACACAAACAUUACAUCAUACAUGGAUGACGGGGGGAGGCGGACCUGAGUACAUACUUGGGAAGUGACUAGGUCACCUUGGUUUUGUUUACAUAUAGAUUUUGCUGGCCUUUUUCAUGGACAGAUGUUUUUUUAGUUGUUGACUCUUUUUCAAAAUGGUUACAAGUUGUUCCAGUGACUACUGCUACCUCAGUCACAGUCAUAAAGAUUCUAAGGAGGCUGUUUGCUACACAUGGCUUGCCAGAUACAAUUGUGUCUGAUAAUGGAACACAAUUUACCUCAUCAGAAUUCAAAUUUUUCAUGUUACAAUUGCACCAUUUCACCCAUCAUCAAAUGGUCAAGCUGACCAUAUGGUUCAGACUACCAAAGACUCAUUGGAAUCGUAGACUUGCAAAUUUCCUUCUGCAACAACAUGUGACACCAUGCUCAAGCACUGAUAGUAGUCCAGCUGAGCUCCUUAUGAACUGGCAUCUUAAAACUUGUCUGAAUCGGUUACAUCCUGAUUUGACAUCUGAGUUACAAGAGAAGCAAGAAUUGCAAUUCAAUAAGAACUAUAAUGCUUCUACUGUGAGAAUAUUUGCACCUGACAGUGCUGUCUAUGUCAGGAACUAUGUUUCUGGGCCUGAAUGGAUACCUGCAAAAGUUAUUGUGGCCACAGGACCUUUGUCAUACAAAGUACAAAUUCCAUAUGGUAGAAUAUUACAAAGGCAUGUCGAUCUGAUUUGGGAACGGAGUGAUGAGAUUGUGCCUGCUGCCGGUCCCAGUCAUACCGGGGUUUCUGUGAUUCCAGAUGAUGUUGAACCACUGGAUGAUACAGGUCUCAGUUCUCCAGGAGUUGUUGUUGCAGAACCAGUUCUGUGCCAUCCAUCUGACAGAGCACAGGUAAAAGGGAUGGGCACAACUGAAGGUCCAGGUGAAGAAGCUCCAAACAUGGUUUUGGGACGCCCAAGAAGAAAUAUUUACCCUCCCCAUUAUCUCAAAGACUUUGAGGUCUAGGGGGGAGGAGUGUUAUGUAUUGGGGUGUUAUGCAGUCCACUUUCCAGUAGAUGGCAGCAUAGUGAAGUUAUGCACUUGUUCUGUUGUGUUAGUGUCUCUUGUGUUAUGUAAUUAUGUGUGUGUACUGAAGUAAAGAGAAGUCCUAUUUUACUACAAUGUCUGAGAGCCAUUUGUGAAUAUAUAACAUGCAAAAACCAAGGUAUUACAAAUGGGGUAUUUCCAGGCUUUUUUAGUAGCCACAUAUGUCAUAAACACUGGCCAAAGCUAGCAUUCAGAUUUGCUUAUGUGUGAAAAAUGCAAAAAACUAAUUUGAACGCAAAUUUUGGCCAGUGUUUGUGAAUAAGUGGCUACUAAAAAAGACUGGACAUACCCCAUUUGCAAUACCUUGGGUUGUCUGCUUUUGCAAAUGGUAAUUUUCAUUCCCGAACUACCAUACUGUUUUAAAGGCAAAAUAACCAAUCUAGCAAAUUUCUUUGUGAAAUAAUUGAAAUGUGAGCCUUGUAUUCAGAGUUGAGCGAACCCAAAUUGUAAAGUUCGGGUUCGUACCAAACCUAACGAUUUUUGACCCCAAACCCGGACCCAGACAUUUCAGUAACAGCUCGGGUUUUAGUUCGGUGUUCGGCGAUUUAAUUGCGCAUUUUGAAAAGCUGCAGGGCAGCCAAUCAACAAGCGUUUGACUCGUGUGCCCUUAGAAGCCAUCACAGCCAUGCCUACUAAUGGCAUGGCUGUGAUUGGCCAGUGCAGCAUGUGACCCAGCCUCUAUAUAAGCUGGAGUCACGUAGCGCCGCACGUCACAUGAGCUCUUAUUAGUGUAGGGAAAGGAUGCUGCAGCUGUUAGGGACAGAUUAGGAAAGAAUUCUGGUGUUGAAUGUGCAAACUACAGCGAUUAUUUUUGUGGGUGCUAUACUACAUUUUUGUACCCUGCCUUGAGCUGAGUGCCACAGAGAAAUAAGCAAUCAGUCUGUUUGUUAGGUGGGCGUCGGCGGUUAUUUUUGCAAGUGCAGUGCACUUGCAACUGCAUAUGUGCCAGGCACAUUACUUUAGUCCUGUUCUGGUAGCUCAUUGGCAACAUCUAGGCAUUUUUAAACACUGCUGUGACAUUGCAGUUUGACAAAUUCACAUUUUUUUUGUGCUAAAAAGUAAAUUUGGGGCGUGCAUUUCAUAUCUGAGAGUGAAACCGUCAAAUACUGCUGUGACUAGUGAUGCCGCGAACAUAAAAUUUUCGGUACGCGAACCGCGAACACGAACUUCCGCAAAUGUUCGCGAACCGGGCGAACCCGGCGAACCGCCAUAGACUUCAAUAGGCAGGCGAAUUUUAAAACCCACAGGGACUCUUUCUGGCCACAAUAGUGGUUGAAGGGGGGGGAGGAGACCUACUCUCCUCCCCCCCGGCCCCCACCCGUGGGUGGCGGGUGGGGGCCAUAAAGAUAAUGAGGGGGGACAUACUGUCCUCCCCCUCUCCGGCCCCCACCCGUGGGCGGCGGGUGGGGGCCAUAAAGAUAAUGAGGGGGGGACAUACUGUCCUCCCCCUCUCCGGCCCCCACCCCUGGGCGGCGGGUGGGGGCCAUAAUGAUAAUGAGGGGGGGGCCUACUGUCCUCCCCCCCCCGGCCCCCACCCCUCGGCGGCGGGUGGGGGCCAUAAAGAUAAUGAGGGGGGGACCUACAGUCCUCCCCCUCUCCAGCCCCCACCCCUGUGCGGCGGGUGGUGGCCCUAAAAAUAACAAUAAGGGGGGGACCUAAUGUCCCCCCCGGCCCCCACCCCUGAGCGGUGGGUGGGGGCCCUAAUAACAAUAAGGGGGGACCUAUUGUCCCCCCGUCCCCCACCCCUAAGCAAUGGGUGGGGGCCCUAAAAUUAACAAUAAGGGGGGGACCUACUGUCCCGCCUGGCCCCCACCCCUGAGCGGUGGGUGGGGACCCUAAAGAACAAAUAAGUAAGUGACCUAUCGUCUUCAGCCCCCAAACCCCUGAGCCGGGUGGGUGGUGGGGCCCUGGGGGCUCAUCAUUGCUGGGGGACCCGGCCGUCCCCUGGCCCCCACCCUGAGCCAGUGGGUGGGCCCCUGUACCAUCAACAAGGGGGACCUAUUUCCGCCCCCACCCCUGAGCGGUGGGUGGGGGCCCUAAAAAUAACAAUAAGGGGGGGACCUACUGUCCCCCCCCGGCCCCCACCCCUGAGCGGUGGGUGGGGACCCUAAUAACAAUAAGGGGGGGCUUAUUGUCCCCCCCGGCCCCCACCCCUGAGCGGUGUGUGGGGGCCUAAAAUUAACAAUAAGGGGGGGACCUAUUGUCCCCCACCCGGCCCCCACCACUGAGCGGUGGGUGGGGGCCCUAAAAUUAACAAUAAGGGGGGGACCUAUUGUCCCGCCCGGCCCCCACCCGUGAGUGGUGGGUGGGGGCCCUAAAUACAAAGGGGGGGGACCCUAGUCACCCCUCCCCCCCCCAAAAAAAAUGAUCUCCCUACCUACCCCCCUCACCCUAAAAAUAAUGGGGGGGGGACCUUUAACUAAAAACCUGUAAAAAAACAUUUGAUAAAAAUAACUUACCAUUUGAUGUUUUCUUUCUUCUACAAUCUUCUUUUUUCAGCCCCAAAAAAGGCCAAAUAAAAAGCCAUAAGAACCGACGCAACAAAAAAAAAAACGAGCGCACAAAAAAAUAAUCCAUCUUCACCCAUGGAGGGCUCCACGCAAACUGAGCUCUGCAGGGCGGGGAAGGCUUAUAAAGCCUUGCCACGCCCUGCAAUUAGGCUAAGAACACUCUGAUUGGCUGUUUUAAGCCAAUCAGAGUGCUCUUUGUCAUUUUACACACAUUUUAUGUAUUUUAUGUUAUUUUAAGUUAUUUCCCUAUCCACAUUUGUUUGCAGGGCACUUGUCCUACUCUUACCCCCAUUUUACUUCCUUUUGCAGCCCUCUAGCCCUUUCCAGGACUUUCUUAGAGCUAUUUUAGUGCCCAAAAGUUUGGGUCCCCAUUGACUUCAAUGGGUUUCGGGGUUAAGCUCGGGUCAAGUUCGAGUCCCGAACUCGAACUUUUGCCGAAGUUCGGCCGAACCCGGUGAACUCGAACAUCCAGGUGUCUGCUCAACCUAUAUUUGACUCUGUAACUUUUUAAAAAAUCAUAAAACCUGUACAUGGGGGGUACUAUUAUACUCGGGAGACUUCGCUGAACACAAAUAUUAGGGUUUCAAAUCAGUAAAAUGUAUCACAACAUUGCCCCCCCGGCCCCCAACCCUAAACGGCGGAUGGGGGCCCUAAAGUAAAAUGGGGGGGACCUAUUGUCCUGCCCCCGCCCCCACCCAUAAGCGGUGGGUGAGGGCCCUAAAUUAGAACAAGGGGGGGACCUAUUGUCCUCCCCACCAGCCCCCAUACCUGAGCGGCGGGCCCUAAAUUAGAAUAAGGGGGACCUAAUGUCCUUCCCCUUGUCCCCCACUCCUAAGCGGUGGGUAGGGGCCCUAAAUACUAAUAAGCCUAGUCAAAGCCCAUACCUCAAUCCAAUAGAAAAUCUGUGGUCAGACUUAAAGAUUGCUGUUCACAAGCACAAACCAUCCAACUUGAAGGAGCUGGAGCAGUUUUGCAAGGAAGAAUGGGCAAAAAUCCCAGUGGUAAGAUGGGGCAAGCUCAUAGAGACUUAUCCAAAGCGACUUGGAGCUGUGAUUGCCGCAAAAGGUGACUCUACAAAGUAUUGACUUUAGGGGGGUGAAUAGUUAUGCACAUUGACUUUUUCUGUUAUUUUGUCAUAUUUGUUUGCUUCACAAUAAAAAUAAAAAAAAUCUUCAAUGUUGUGGGCAUGUUCUGUAAAUUAAAUGAUGCAAAUCCUCAAACAAUCCAUGUUAAUUCCAGGUUGUGAGGCAACAAAACAUGAAAAAUGCCAAGGGGGGUGAAUACUUUUGCGAGGCACUGUAGGUCUACAAUCUUGUCCCUGAAAUCCUUGGACAGCUCUUUGGUCUUGGCCAUGGUGGAGAGAUUGACUGCUUCUGUGGACAGGUGUCUUUUAUACAGAUAACAAGCUGAGAUUAGAUGUCCUCCCCCUGGCCCCCACCCCUGAGCGGCCGGUGGGGGCCCUAAAUAAAAAUGUAACACCCCCCAGGUGACUCCCCUCCCCAAAACAACUAAGCCCUAACUACCCCCCUCACCCUAAAAAGAAUGAGGGGGGGGGCAUUAACUAAGUACCUGUAAAAAAAAUAAAACUUACCAUUUGAUGUUUUCUUUCUUCUAAAAUCUUCUUUUUUCAGCCCCCAAAAAAGGCCAGAUAAAGCCCUCCCCAAAACAACUAAGCCCUAACUACCCCCCUCACCCUAAAAAUAAUGAGGGGGGGGGGCUUUAACUAAGUACCUGUAAAAAUAAAUAAAACUUACCAUUUGAUGUUUUCUUUCUUCUAAAAUCUUCUUUUUUCAGCCCCCAAAAAAGGCCAGAUAAAAAUCUAUAAUAACCGAUGCACUUAAAAAAAAUAAGGCACAGGCUGCUCACUGUUUAAUAGACAUGCCCCUACGCGCGGUAUAACGAGUAGAGGCAAAAUGUACUAAUACUAAGUAAUUUUUACUUAGUAUUAGUAAAUUUGGCUGAAAGACCAAUUUAGGUCUUUCAGCCUUUUGGUAGAUAACCCCCUAAUACCGUGGGAAUUAGGGAGUAUCUACUAAGCGGCUGCAAGAGAAGUCCCGAAGUGCCGAAAUUCCGAAGUGUCGAAGUGCUGAAGUUGAUGAAGUUCUGAAGUGUCGAAGUGCCCUAGUGGCGAACCGGACCGCCGAAGUCCCGAAUUGCCGAAGUCCCUAAUUUCGGAAUGCCGAACCGAACCGAACUGAAAAUAUUCCCCAUUCACAUGCCUAGUAUAAACACACACACACACACACACAAUAUAAACAAUUAUAUUACACACACACUGCACCUAUAAUGGGUACAGGGUGACUAAAACAUAAGAAAAGUAAAGCAACCUACAUAAAUAGUCUGUCUGAAGGUCCAGGUGAUGGGGACUACUGUCACAUCAACAAAUAAUUAAUAGCAGCUACAUCACCAACAAAUAAUUGAUAGCAGCUACUACACAUGUGUAAAUACCCUCAAUUUUACACAAAAUCAUGUAAUAAAACAGUUAUCCAAGUGGAACCAAUCCACUACAAGUGAACCCAGUGGAGCGCUACAUAUGUACACCGUUAUAAAAAAGGGAAGAGUGGUAAAUGGUGAAGAUAUUUACUAGGACAAAACAAAGAAGACAACAAAAUAUAGAGCAGUAUGUUUCAAAAUACUGUGCCUUACAAAAGUAUUCACCCCCCUUGACUUUUUACCUAUUUUGUUAUAUUACAGCCUUAAGUUCAAUGUUUUAUUAAUCUGAAUUUAAUGUGAUGGAUCAGAACACAAUAGUCUAAGUUGGUGAAGUGAAAUAAGAAAAAUAUAUACAUAAAACUAUUUUUUAGAAAAGGAAAACAGAAAAUUGGCAUGUGAGUAUGUACUCACCCCCUUUGUUAUGAAGCCCAUAAAAAGCUCUGGUGCAAUUUAAGAGUCACAUGAUCUGUCAUUACAAAUACACACCUUUUUUGAAAGGCCCCAGAGGCUGCAACACCUAAGCAAGAGGCACCACUAACCAAACACUGCCAUGAAGACCAAGGAACUCUCCAAACAAGUAAGGGACAAUGUUGUUGAGAAGUACAAGUCAGGGUUAGGUUAUAAAAAAAAUAUCCAAAUCUUUGAUGAUCCCCAGGAGCACCAUCAAAUCAAUCAUAACCAAAUGUAAAGAACAUGGCACAACAACAAACCUGCCAAUAGAUGGCCGCCCACCAAAAUUAAUCAGAGAGGCAGCACAGAGACCUAAGGUAACCCUGGAGGAGCUGCAAAGUUCCAGAGCAGAGACUGGAGUAUCUGUACAUAGGACGACAAUAAGCCGUAUGCUCCAUAGAGUUGGGCUUUAUGGCAGAGUGGCAAGAAGAAAGCCAUUACUUUCAGUAAAAAACAAAAUGGCACGUUUUGAGUUAGCGAAAAGUCAUGUGGGAGACUCCCAAAAUGUAUGGAGGAAGGUGCUCUGAUUUGAUGAAUCUAAAUUGAACUUUUCGUCCAUCAAAGAAAACGCUAUGUCUGGCGGAAACCCAACUUAUCACAUCACCCAAAGAACACCAUCCCCACAGUGAAACAUGUUGUGGAGAUGUUUUUCAGCAGCCGGGACUGGGAAACUGGUCAGAGUUGAGGGAAAGAUGGAUGGUGCUAAAUACAGGAAUAUUCUUUAGCAAAACCUGUACCACUCUGUGUGUGAUUUGAGGCUAGGACAGAGGUUCACCUUCCAGCAGGACAAUGACCCCAAAUACACUGCUAAAGCAACACUUGAGUGUGUUAAGGGGAAACAUGUAAAUGUGUUGGAAUGGCCUAGUCAAAGCCCAUACCUCAAUCCAAUAGAAAAUCUGUGGUCAGACUUAAAGAUUGCUGUUCACAAGCACAAACCAUCCAACUUGAAGGAGCUGGAGCAAGGAAGAAUGGGCAAAAAUCCCAGUGGUAAGAUGUGGCAAGCUCAUAGAGACUUAUCCAAAGCGACUUGGAGCUGUGAUUGCCGCAAAAGGUGACAAUACAAAGUAUUGACUUUAGGAGAGUGAAUAGUUAUGCACAUUGACUUUUUCUGUUAUUUUGUAAUAUUUGUUUGCUUCACAAUAAAAAUAAAAAAAAUCUUCAAUGUUGUGGGCAUGUUCUGUAAAUUAAAUGAUGCAAAUCCUCAAACAAUCCAUGUUAAUUCCAGGUUGUGAGGCAACAAAACAUGAAAAAUGCCAAGGGGGGUGAAUACUUUUGCAAGGCACUGUAGGUCUACAAUCUUGUCCCUGAAAUCCUUGGACAGCUCUUUGGUCUUGGCCAUGGUGGAGAGAUUGACUGCUUCUGUGGACAGGUGUCUUUUAUACAGGUAACAAGCUGAGAUUAGAAGCACUCCCUUUAAGAGAGUGCUCCUAAUAUCAGUUCGUUACCUGUGUAAAAGACACCCGGGAGCCAGAAAUCUUGCUGAUUGAUGGGGGAUCAAAUACUUAAUUUACUCAUUGACAUGCAAAUCAAUUUAUAUUUUUUUUGACAUUGCCGCACAAAAGUAUAUAUUUAUUUAUAUAAGACGUUCCCGUGUAUCCCGGAAUAUUAUAUCUUUUUCUUAUCACCCCGUACACUCACGACGCUAGAGACGGCCCUGUUUUGCCACUUAGUCAUGGCGGCUUCCCAACUAAUCCCUAAACUUUGGAAGCAAUCCAGGCCACCUUCAAUUCGUGCAUGGAUACUGAGAGUUGAUGAUAUUAAAUUGAUGGAAGAAAUCACCUCAGCUAAAAUGGGAAAACAAGUUAAAUUCUUGUCCAUAUGGGACCCAUGGAUUCAUCACAUGCACUGCAACCCUCCCCCACCAAAAUAGACUGACCUAACACAUACCUUUAUCCUCAUCAAAAAUACAAGCCCUAUUCAUAAACUUCUGCCUCUCCCACCAUCAUACCACUGCAGCUUUCUCUUCCGCCCCUUCCUCCCUGGUUGAGGUUGGUGGGAGUUGAAAGUAACCGAUUGACAAGACACGUACAACCGUCACUCAAUCUUGCUUCCCUGAGGGGACAGCAAGGUACCAUCCCCUACUUUUAUACACCCGCUUUUCUUUCCAUAUACUCAAUAGUCCUCCGCCGAGCCUAGGUUUUCCGACCCACAGAGGGGAAUUAUCCCUUUAGAUACACAUGAAGCGUCCCAGUAUAGACCGGGUCUCAGGGUAUUGCACUAAUGUAAUGGUUCCUUUCAAUUAUUUAUUGCUAUAGUAUUUUUGCUUGUUAUGUUAUCCUUUCAAUUGCCUCAUUUACCACUAUUUCCUUUUUGUGGUGAUGACUCUACUACAACAUGUACCUUCCACUAUGUGAUAUUUUAGUACUGUUUAAAAUAGUGAAAUACCGAACUUGUAACCUUAAUGUAAUCUCGCUGUACCAAAACUUAUGUUUACCUAUGUCAAACAUACAAAACAAUAAAAAGAUAAAUAUAAAAAAAAAAGUAUAUAUUUAUAUGAAGCAUACAUCACAGGCUAUUUACCAAAGGGUAUUCUGACACUUUUUACAUAGCCAUUUCGCCACCAAUCUCUGCUAAAUAGUGUAGUAAAAUUGUGUUUUUUUCAGAUUUCUAACAUACACACAUAAAACAAGGAUUUUUUAUGUGUAUUUCAUAAAGCUGGUAUAUACUACUGCUGUAGAAAACCUCAUGUUGUUUUCAGCCAUAUCAACUGAGUAAAACAAUACCCCCAAUCUAUGCCUUUGCCACUAUACUGUGAAAUUACAGUGUCAUAAAUGAGACCUGACCAUUUCAGUUUUACAGUGAUAAUUUUGAUAGAUGAAUUUGAUGGCAGCAAGUCUCAUUUUGGGGCAUUUUAGCAGUUUAACUGUUGAAUUCAUCCCUCAAGGACAUACCAUUGGUGAAAGUAGACACUACAGUGUAUCACAUAUGGUGUAUAUUGUGCCUUAACGUGAUGCCAUUUUUUCACCAGUUUAUGUCAAACAGUUUUUUACAUACAUGUUACAUUUUUUGGGGGUCAUUUUUCAAGUCUGGUAUGUGCCACUGUGAUCAAAACCCCAUAAUUAUGCUCGCCAUAAUAAAAGCAAUACCCCCAAUGUAUGUCUUUGCCACUUUCCCGUGAAGCUACAGUGCCUUAAAAGAGUCCUGACCAUUACAGUUUUUACAAUUAGAAUUUUGAUAAAUGGAUUUGAUGUGUCUAUAUCACAUUUAAGGCAAAGAAGAAAGACUCACAGGCACUCCGAAUUCAAGCCGCAGGCAGUUUUAUUGUAACAGAAUGUAAUGCAACAUUUCGACUGUAAAGGUCUUUUUCAAGCUUGACAAAGACUGUGUAGGUCGAAACGUUGUGAUGGAGUGGGUUCAAUAAAAUUGCCUUACUUGUACCUUGGAGUGCCUGGACCUUUCUUCUAUUUGUUAUUUAGCAUUUGGUCUCUGGUACUGAGACUGUCCGAGUUGCACCCAGCUACAUACUGCUUAAAGGGAUAGAGUGCAGUUCCACACCCUACCAUAACUACUUCUGAAUUGUGAGUACCAUUGGAAAUUUGCACCUCCCUAACAAUUUUUGUAUUGGCUACAUUUAUGGCUAUUUGACUGCAAAUAUUUUUAGUGCAAAUCUAUAAUUUUAAUCAGUUUACUAAUUUUUUGGCAUAAUGGAACCCAUGAUCCAGCCCAGCACAAGCUUUUAUGUCUAUUUGGAUGAAGGAACGAGGCGAAUUUUAUCUGCUGCAGAAAGUAUUUUUGAACUUUUUAAUACACCAAGUGGGCAAACUAUAAUUAAAGAGUUGGUAAAAGCCUUAAAGAGAAAAAAUAUGAGCUUUACAUUGCACAGUGAUUAUGUUUAAAUGAAAUGUAUACCAAGGGGGACGUGUAUGUAAGCACAACCUAUUUCAUUGAAGGAUAAUAUUGAAUAUUGUACAAGGCUUGAGGGAAUUUUGAAUAAAUGUUCCAUGGUCUGGAUAUUAUUAAAUCUGGAAUUUCUACAAAGCUCAUCUAUUAAGAAAAAAGAGCAAAUCAAAAUAGAAAAGUAACUUCCAAUCCAACAUUAGGUUUAAUUCUUCACAAGAAAAUCGAUCCAGUAACAGUUCAGUGUAUUUUGUUUCAGAAGAAACUCCCAGGGGAUUGUUCAGCGGAGAAACAUUGGAAGAAUCCGAAGGGGUGGCCAUAAGUAGCAGGAAUUUGCCAGCAAUAUGGACAAACAAAGGCCCUCAGAAGAUGAAGAAACAAU
rnacentral:lncRNA from 1 species